AUACGUUGUAAUACGUAAUAUUUGAGGAUUAUUGGAACUUACGGAUUGGGAAUCCGAGUUACGGAUCUUCCGGAAUUGGAAUUGUAAGUCCAUAAUAUAAAAUGUUAACCGUCACUUAGUUUUGGAAAUUGACGGAGAUCCGACCGUUGGAUGGUAAUGAAAUUUUAGGAUGUUGUCCUAGAGGUAUAAUGUGGACCUCUGGAAGUUAUGGAUUUAAAAUCUGAGUGGCAGAUCUUCCGGAUCGAUCUACGUAGUGACGUAUUUUAUAUAAGUUAUAUAUUCUAUCGAUAUGAAUUCUGAGGUUGGAUUUGAUUACUGUUCUAGGCGGCGAUCGUCAUGACGCCUUGAUGUGUGGUGCUAGGGAGUUGUUGGACGAACUCCAGGUGAGUGGGCAGUUUUGUUUUCCGUAUACAUAUAUAAUUGACGUUUCCCAGAAAUUGAAAAUGUUACGAAAGUAUGCUUUAAAUGCAAAGUAUAAAAGUAUGUUUUCAAAUGCCAUGAGUAGAUUAUAUGAAAGAUAUGAUUUGAGAUAUAUUAGUUGAAAUACCAUGCUUAGAAGUAUGUGAAAAGUAUAUAGAAAUGUGAAUCGAAAUGCCAUGCAUGAAAUGAUAUGAAAAGUAUGAAUUGAGAUAUGAUGCAUAUGUAUGAAUUGGUGCUGUGGACGCACAGGUGAGUAUCAGGUGAGUAUAUUACUGCUAUGAUGAUGUUGAGAUAUAUUGAGCUCAUAACCUGCACCUUGGUAUUAGUGCUUAUUAUUAUUCACCGCAUCGCAUGCUCACCUUGGAUCCAAGUAGAUGCUAGUCGUACAGACCACCGGGGGUGGUUCCGACAUGCCAGUCGUACAGACCAUUAGAGGGGUUCCGACUGGUAGGUGACCUUAGAUUAUGUGCACAGAUGAUUGAUGAGAAAAGCACUAGAGCAUAUUAUUACACCAUUAAGUCGUACAGAUUACAUUAGGUAAUUCCGACUUAUGUGCAGUGUAGUGCCGUACAGGUCAUACUAGGUGACUCCGGCAUGGCCGAACAGGUCACAGUUGGUGACUCCGGUUAUAUGAGAUUUUGAGCUCUACAUUCAGCCGUACAGGACCAUUGUAGGGUCUCCGGUUGAUUUCUUUCUUGCACCUGAUAUGAUUAUUGCUGAUGCAUUCAUACUUAACUGUUGAAUUUAGACAUGGCAUGGCAUGAUUGAUAAAGAUAAAUGUUGAGAUAGUAAAAAUGAAGUUUUGAUAAUAUAUAUGUAUAUUUAUAUUUUACAUUUCUGGGAAAGUAUACAGGUUUUACGGAGAGGGGUUACAACGUUUUGAGAAAUGUUUGGAUUUGGAAAAGAAUUGUUUUACUGACCCACUCAAUUUUGGUUUUGCGCCCCUCCAGGUUCAUGAAUCACAAAGGUGUGGUGACUACGAGGAAUUCGACGGUGUUCUGACAGAUUGGACAAAAUUAGGACUCACUUUCGGGUGUAUCAACUUAGGAAUUGUAUCUUAAAGCUUCCGUACUGUGCAAAUGGUUACGUCACUCUCACGUGACGGCCAGCAUGCCCUCCUUCGGGACGGGGUGUGUCAGUUGGUAUCAGAGCAUGGUUGCAAUCUUGGACAUUUUGAGAAGUUCUAGUGAAUUCUGUCAGAACUACACCGCCUCGUAGCAAGCCACUUAGUUAGAGGAAUUUAGUCUCCCUAAUAUAACGGUUUAGGGGAAACUAUUAUUAUGGUGAUUCAGUCUAUUAUAAAAAGGGACAUUUUAAGAUGGGUUAUGAGUUGAAUUUGAAUCACUUAAGAGAAAUGAUGAACCUGAGGGAGCGAAGUAACGGUUUAACCAUUUGGAAAAGAUGUUUCGGAUUAUGCAAGUCAAAGGAAUCUUCCUUCUGACAAGGGGUCGAGAUGACUACCUGGUUUGAGUUAUGAACGUGUAUCCUGAUGGAAGCAGGAGUAUUAAUUGUUGUCAUCGGAGGAACAGCCGAUUUAAAAUUGUUUAAGGACUUGUUUAAGGAAAAGUUUAUCCCUCCGGCAUUUAUCGAUGGUAGUAAACAAGAGUUUACAAAUAUGAGACAAGGAAGGUGAUGAUCGAGGGAUAUUAUAGAAAGUUUUCAGACUUGCCUUGUUCCAUCCAGAUAUUGUUGUUAUUGGUGGAGGUGUUAUGUUGUUUUAAGCUGGGUGGCAAAAAGGGAAGUGGUAUUUUGGGUGACCACUAUCCAUUGUAGUUCUUAUCAGGAGUAUGCUAGAUGUUGUUGAGUCUUGAGGACUCUGAGAACAUGAGCAACGAGAAUAAAGAAGAAUAAGAAAUGAAUGGGAAUUUAAAGAAGACGAUAAAGUUAAUGAUUCGUCAUAUCAAGGAGAUAGAAAGAUUCAGAGCUUCGAAAGAAGUGAAGCUAGAGUUAAUUCUUCCAGCUGAGGUUUUAAUGUCGCUGGUCAGAGUAAAAGUGAUGGAUAUACUGGUAAUCCCAGAUAUUUGAGACAAGGUGUCUCGAGUAAAGGAAAUGUACUUUGUGCAGCAGGUACAAAAUUAACACUUUGGGAAAUGUGAAAUUAAUGAAUGUGUUUAUGUAAACAGAGGGGACACAUAAUUGUGAAUCGUCCCUAAAAUCAGUUGUACUCAACAAUUUUCCAUGAUAUCAUAGUGUCAAUUCAGCAGAGUUAUGGACUUAGUAGUUUGGUUGGAUUGACCAUGAGUACCGAGAGAUUUGAUGAGUUAUAUGUUCAGCCGUACAGGCCAAAAGAGGUGGAUCCGGCUGACACAUGAGAAAUUGGUGAGUUAUAGGCUCGGCUGUACGGACCACAAGAUGUGGAUCCGGCCGACGUAUUUACUGGGGAAUUGAUGUGUAAGUCGUACAGGUCACUAUAAGUGACUCCGACUAAUGUGCUAGCAUAGAUGGUUGAGCUGGAGAAUCAGCCGUACAGGUCAUUCUAGUUGACUCCGGCUGAUAUAUUUCUGAGUAUGGACAAUGAUGCCAAAGAAAGUAAUGUUGGAACGUGAUAGAGGCGUAUAUGUGUAUUCUAAUGAAAAAAAAAAAUGAUAGUAUUACACCUUUGGGAAUUGUUGCUUACUUAUCGAGACAACGAUGAUUUAUCAGUAUUGCGGGCUGCAGACCGUAAUAUUAAUAACUCAUUCGUGGAUUCGUUAAGCAAGCAAACCGGUAUUUUAUUUUAUGUUAGUGUUGUACUUAUUUAGAAUGUUCAGUAAUAAUAAAGUAUGUAUUGGGUCAGUUAAUUUUAUUCCAUUAGAUUGAUUAUUUAUAGUUGUGACUAGAUGGAAUAUUACGGGAAACCAGUUACUUUCCAUCGAUCUGGAUGACCAGAGAUUACUUUUGUAAGUAUGCAAAAUGGAUUGAGUCAGGCCGUUAUUUAUGCUGUGAGAGCAAAGAGAUUGUUUUCGAAAGGCUGUCAAAAAUACUUAGCUCAUGUGGUGCUAAAUGAUGUUGUUUGGAGUAGUGUGAAUAAUGUCGAAAGAGUUAGACUUUUCUUGAUGUCUUCUCUGAAAGUAUACCUGGAUUGUCUUCAGGCAGAGAUAUGAGGUUCAUUAUUGAUUUGUUGCCAGGUAUAAAUUUAUGUUAAAGAUUGGUUCAUGAUGAGUUAAGGGAAUUGGAAAUUCAGUUGAGAGAAUUGGUUGAUAAAAGUUUUAUUCAACCUAGUACAACACUGUUGAGGAGCACCAGUUUGUUGGUGAGAAAGGAAAUGGACUUAGAGAUUGUUCAUUGAUUAUAGAUAAUGGAAUCGGGUAACGAAUGAGAACCGUUAUCCAUUGUGGUGUAUUGACGCUCAUUUGAUCAGUUCAAAGGUGCUUGUAUAUUUUCAAAGAUUGACUUGAAUACUGUUUAUUAUCAAUUGAAGAUUAUGAGUUAUUGGAUGAAGUAUUCCAAUAAUGCCUUGAUAAAUAGAUAUCAUUUUCAUUGAAGAUAUUCUGGCAUAUUCUGAGCCAGAGCAGAACAUGUAAACGUAUUAAGUCGGUGGAACAAAGAUUGGAAGAAUGUCGGUUGUAUGCUAAGUAGCAAAUGCUAAAGUUAGAUGAAUCAUGUGGCAUUCUGAGAAUUGUUAUAUAUUCUUAAGGUAUUCAAGUGAAUCCUUAAAAGAUAGCAGAAAUUGAGAAAUUGGAACAACCACAAGCCAUAAUUGAGAUUCGGAAAUUCUUAACUUAUCAGGCUAUUUUGGAUGGUUGUGAAAGAAUUUUUAGUCAUUGUUUUGUCAUUGAUGAGACUGUUGAGAAAGGAGGUUAUGUAUGAGUGGGAAGGAAAUUGUGAGCAAAGGAUUCAACAACUGAAGUAUUUCCUCACUCAUGCACGUAUUUUAGUAAUCCCAAAGAAUAAUGGUAAUCAUAAAUUUUUAGUGAUGUUUCUUGAAUGGUAUUGGAUGCAUGUUGAUGCAAAUGUUAGGGUGAUUGCAUACGUUUCACGACAAAUGGAAUCUCAUGAGAUGAAUUACCCUACUGGUGAUUUGGAAGUCACGAUUACCAUCCUUGCUGUGAAGUUAUGGAGACAUUCUAUGUUGAUAAGAAUGCAAGAUUUUACAAAUCAAAAGAGUCUCCAAUAUUUGUUUACUUGGAAGGAUUUUGAUAGGAGGCAGCGAAUGUGAAUUGUAUUGCUUAAUGAACAUGAUUGUACGAUCAGGGUGAUCGUAAAGUUUGUUCUAACUGAAGCACUUGGUGAGAAGACUACAAUAAGAUUAAUGUCUGGCACGUUUGCCAAGAGUAUCAUCUUGUGGAUUGAAACCAACGGAAGAAAAAUUAAGAAUGGAAGAUCGAGAAGAAGUUAUACUUGUUAAAUUUCAAGUUAGGCCUGUUUGGUAAGGUCGUACUUGAAACUUAAAUGCUUGACGAAGAAAUUUAAGAAUUAACCAAGGUAGAGAAAGAAGGUAAGUUAAAUCCUAAGUUAAUCGGACUUAAGUGAUUAUCGAAAAGUUGGUGAAGUUGCUUACAAGCUUGUGAUGCCCUCAGAAUUGGUUAAGGUGCAAAACAUAUUUUAUGAUUCGAUGCGUUGUCACUAGGUGGCAGAUUCGUCACAUAAGAUUCUGGUGUAACUAUUGAGAAUUAAAUUGGAUUCGACUUGAUAAGGAACCAAGGACGACUUUGGAUUGGAAAAAGAAGGUCCUGAGAAAUUAAGACAGAGUAAGUAGUAGUAAAAGCUUUGUGAAGGAAAUCAUUCAGUAGAAAAGUAUGUGGGAGAAAGAGAAUCGGAUGAGAAAGAUUUACCCGAAGCUAUUGUUGGAGUAUGGUUUGAUUUUAGUUGGUUGCUGGAAUUUCGGGGACGAAAUUCUAUAAGGAGGGAAGAUUGUCACAGCCCGUCCCGGAAUUUUAAUUCCGAGGACAUGAAAAGACGAAAAUGCCCUUAAACGGGACUAAGGGGCGAAAAUUUAACAAUUUGGAUUGAGUUGGACACGUGGGAUCCCCACACCCCUCAAUCCUCUCCCUAUUUUCUGCAUACUGUCUCUCUCUCCUCCCUCACGAAUCUCUCUCUCUCUGUCACUCUUCUUCUCCGUUCGAACAAACCAACCACAAAACAACCUUAAACUUCCACCAACGACGGAGUUAAGACUACCAUCGAACUCCUGGAGACUCCACGAUCACGUAGACACCAAUUUCAGGUAAGUUUUACUUCGGAAAACCUAGAUUCUAAACUCCCCGUGAAAGUGCACUGUUCAUGAUCUUCGAAUUGACUUUGUUUUAGGACAAUCCAAGCUCACAGUGAGCUUAGUGAGGUUCCAAGGAAGCUCGGAGUGCUUCGUUGGAAGUUUUUGGACGUAAGAACACGGAGAUCGAUAAGUUCAAAGUUUGGCCGGAGCUUUCGAGGCAUUUUCCGGCGAAUCCCCGGCGAGUUAGGCGUCGAGGUAGGUAUCAAUCUCUUUCGUCUCGUCAAGUACUACAAACUUUCCUUUUUGUUUCACUCAAUUUCGUUGAGUAUUGAAGAAGUUAUACUCAUUUGAAAAAUACCCAGUUUCCGGCGACCUCCGAGGCUUUCGAGGCAGUUUCCGGCCAAACUACGGCGAACUAGGUGUUGGGAAAGGUACCAUUCUCUUUGUCUCUUCAAGGGCUACAACUUUCGUUUUUGAAUCACUUGAUUUCGUUGAGAAAUGACAAAGUUAUGGUAAUUUGAAAAACUGCCCAGAAAACGGCCGCCGGAAAAACCAGUCCGGCGACCCAAGGAAGAAGAAGGUGCUACAGUAAAAAAAUAAAUAAAAAUAAAAUUAUUUUAAAAAUAUGUCGACGUCCGUGACGUCGAGUAGAUCACCGUGGUAUAUUCAUAUACCCAAAUUGAACACCGUAUGAGAAAGUUAUUGAAGAUUGUUGGUUAGGUGUUCAAAUAACGUUUUUAUAGUUUUCACAUUUAGGUGAAAAUGUGAAUUGAUGAUCCGACCGUUGGAUCGUCACCAAACUUUGAUACGUUGUAAUACGUAAUAUUUGAGGAUUAUUGGAACUUACGGAUUGGGAAUCCGAGUUACGGAUCUUCCGGAAUUGGAAUUUGUAAGUCCAUAAUAUAAAAUGUUAACCGUCACUUAGUUUUGGAAAUUGACGGAGAUCCGACCGUUGGAUGGUAAUGAAAUUUUAGGAUGUUGUCCUAGAGGUAUAAUGUGGACCUCUGGAAGUUAUGGAUUUAAAAUCUGAGUGGCAGAUCUUCCGGAUCGAUCUACGUAGUGACGUAUUUUAUAUAAGUUAUAUAUUCUAUCGAUAUGAAUUCUGAGGUUGGAUUUGAUUACUGUUCUAGGCGGCGAUCGUCAUGACGCCUUGAUGUGUGGUGCUAGGGAGUUGUUGGACGAACUCCAGGUGAGUGGGCAGUUUUGUUUUCCGUAUAUACAUAUAUAAUUGACGUUUCCCAGAAAUUGAAAAUGUUACGAAAGUAUGCUUUAAAUGCAAAGUAUAAAAAAGUAUGUUUUCAAAUGCCAUGAGUAGAUUAUAUGAAAGAUAUGAUUUGAGAUAUAUUAGUUGAAAUACCAUGCUUAGAAGUAUGUGAAAAGUAUAUAGAAAUGUGAAUCGAAAUGCCAUGCAUGAAAUGAUAUGAAAAGUAUGAAUUGAGAUAUGAUGCAUAUGUAUGAAUUGGUGCUGUGGACGCACAGGUGAGUAUCAGGUGAGUAUAUUACUGCUAUGAUGAUGUUGAGAGAUAUAUUGAGCUCAUAACCUGCACCUUGGUAUUAGUGCUUAUUAUUAUUCACCGCAUCGCAUGCUCACCUUGGAUCCAAGUAGAUGCUAGUCGUACAGACCACCGGGGGUGGUUCCGACAUGCCAGUCGUACAGACCAUUAGAGGGGUUCCGACUGGUAGGUGACCUUAGAUUAUGUGCACAGAUGAUUGAUGAGAAAAAGCACUAGAGCAUAUUAUUACACCAUUAAGUCGUACAGAUUACAUUAGGUAAUUCCGACUUAUGUGCAGUGUAGUGCCGUACAGGUCAUACUAGGUGACUCCGGCAUGGCCGAACAGGUCACAGUUGGUGACUCCGGUUAUAUGAGAUUUUGAGCUCUACAUUCAGCCGUACAGGACCAUUGUAGGGUCUCCGGUUGAUUUCUUUCUUGCACCUGAUAUGAUUAUUGCUGAUGCAUUCAUACUUAACUGUUGAAUUUAGACAUGGCAUGGCAUGAUUGAUAAAGAUAAAUGUUGAGAUAGUAAAAAUGAAGUUUUGAUAAUAUAUAUGUAUAUUUAUAUUUUACAUUUCUGGGAAAGUAUACAGGUUUUACGGAGAGGGGUUACAACGUUUUGAGAAAUGUUUGGAUUUGGAAAAGAAUUGUUUUACUGACCCACUCAAUUUUGGUUUUGCGCCCCUCCAGGUUCAUGAAUCACAAAGGUGUGGUGACUACGAGGAAUUCGACGGUGUUCUGACAGAUUGGACAAAAUUAGGACUCACUUUCGGGUGUAUCAACUUAGGAAUUGUAUCUUAAAGCUUCCGUACUGUGCAAAUGGUUACGUCACUCUCACGUGACGGCCAGCAUGCCCUCCUUCGGGACGGGGUGUGUCACAAAUAAUUCAAAACCUGUCUCUAACUCUCUGAUCCAAUGAUCCAAAUAAUUAAGUAAUGUUAACAAUUACAUGUUAAUUUUUUUUAAGUAAUUAAGUAAUGUUAACAAUCACCAUGUUUUAUAUUAGGAUUAUUUUAUUAUCAAAUUGGAUUAUUCAUUAAAUUGGAUUAUUAUCAAAUUUGAUUAUUAUUCAUCACCAUGUUUUAUAUUAGGAUUAUUUUUUUAUGAAAUUGGAUUAUUAUUCAUUAAAUUAGAUUAUUAUUCAUUAAAUUGGAUUAUUAUCAAAUUGGAUUAUUAUUCAUCACCAUGUUUUAUAUUAGGAUUAUUUUUUUAUGAAAUUGGAUUAUUCAUUAAAUUGGAUUAUUAUCAAAUUGGAUUAUUAUUCAUCACCAUGUUUUAUAUUAGGAUUAUUGUACUAAUUCAUUAUAUAUAAAUUAUUAUGAUGUGUUUAGACUUCUUUCAUUAAUUACUACAUAUUUUCUACAUUCACAAUGUUUGUCAGCUAGCUAUAUAAUCAACUUGAUAAUGCUAAAUCCAUCAUGCAAUGCAUUUCUUUCCAAUUUUUUGUGAUAAACUAAUAGAUAAUUGACUAAAUAAACAUCCUACAAAGUUUCAAUAAAAAUUUCCAAGUUUUUCUUACAAUUUCCGUGGUUUCCAUGUAAUUUUUAUCGAUAUCGAUAUUAUCCCGAUAUUUCCAUCGAUAUUUCCGUGUUUUCAAACUACCGAUAUUUCUGAUAUUACCGAUAUUUUCUUCCUUGCUCACUACGACCACAAACCAAAAGCUUUGGCUUUCUCCCUCUAAACCCCCUUUGAGUUUUCAAAACCGUCGUCGUUUCGAGACCAUCGUUAUCACCGUCACCAUGUCGUCGUCGUCGAAGAUCACCCUGCAGAGCUCCGACGGCGAGUCGUUCGAGGUCGAGGAGGCGGUGGCGCUGGAAUCACAGACCAUUGGGCUCGUGAUCGAGAACGACUGCGCCGACAACUGUAUUCCUUUGCCCAACGUCACCAGCAAGAUCUUGGCCAUGGUCAUCGAGUACUGCAAGAGGCACGUCGACGCCGCCAAGCUCGACGAGAAGAUCUUCGAGGACGAUCUCGAGUCCUGGGAUCAGGCGUUCGUAAAGGUGGACCAGGCUACGCUGUUUGAUCUCAUUAACGUAUGUUAAAACCCUAAUUUAAUAUUGAAUUUCGAAUUAAUUCUUGUUCGCAAUUGCUUUGUUUGAUUCUAGGGUUUCGGAAUUUGGGGAUUAGUUAGGGAUAGGGUUUUUGAAUUGGGUAUUGGGGUCAAUUGUGUUGUUUUUAGGGAUAGGGUUGCUGAUUUAAGGGUUUUCUAUGAUGGUUUGGUAUGCGAUGCAAUUCGAUUAUUUUUUUACUUUUGUUUCUGUUUAGGGAUUUGUUUCAGUGGUUUCUGUGCGUUUGAAUUGGUUGAUUUUGUUGCUUUUGAUGUUACUGUGCUUGUUCUGAUUCUGCUUCUGCUUCUACUUCAAGUUUGUCUUGUGCUUCUGUUUGAAGUUGAGAUAAAGAGGAAUGUCUUCGUAUUGAAAUCUUUUGCCAUUCGACGUUUACUUGUCUAAGUUGUCACUUGUUCAAGUUGUGAUUAAGUUUGUUAAUAAGAGAAUGUGUUAAUUUGUAGAUUGGCUGAACAAUUAACUAGUUUCCGUAUCUAACAUCAUUGUUCAGUCUCUGGCGAUGGUAUUGUCAGUGUAAUUGGUUUAUGAAUUACUACGUAAGCUUUUGCAGAAACUACAGUAAUUUGAUGUGUUGGCUUUCAUUGUUUAUGAGGGCGGCUGAUUGCUGAAACUAGCAUUGAUUGUGUUUUUUUAAUAUGGUGAUAUUGGUAUUGACAGGCUGCAGCCUACUUGAACAUCAAGAGCCUUUUGGACCUGACAUGCCAGGCAGUUGCAGACAUGAUCAAGGGUAAGACUCCAGAAGAGAUCAGAAAGACCUUCAACAUCAAGGACGAGUUCACCCUGGAGGAAGAGGAGGAAGUUCGUCGUGAGAACCAGUGGGCGUUUGAAUGAAGUUUCUCGGUGAUGGUCUUUUUACUUGGAACCUAGUGCUGGCAUACCUAUCAUGUAUUAUAGUUAAUCAGCUGACUUCUUUAUCAUUCUCUGUUUUUGAGUGCUUUUAUCGGGAGUUGCAAGUCCUUUCAAAUUGGAGAUAAAAGUUGGAUUCUGAUGUUGGUAGUGGUUCUUCUACUACUGUCAAUGCCAUUGCCAGUUUUACUAUUUCUGAAUCAAAAUCUUCUACUUCCAUUAAGUUGGUUCUCACGUGGUUUGAAUCAAGCUUGGUGUGUAUGCCUUAGUUGUGUCCUUUUCUAGCCGAAUGGGGAUAACCAUUUGAUGGCAACUGUUGUGCUGCCCAUGAAUUUUGUGAAUUUUCGAGUCCUUGGCUCCGAAAGACACAGAAGUGUUCGCAAAGAUUUGGCUAGGGAUCGUGGUUGGGGAUACGGAGAGAGAACAUAAUAAUAGGGAAGGGAAAGCGUUAAAGGGGGGACGAGAGGGCGGCAAAGGAAGAGAACAAUAUCGGAGAAGUGAAAACAAAUGAGAAUGAUUUUUGGUUUUUCAGUUUUCUUGUGUCCCUUUCUUGUUACAUUUCUUCUAUAUCUCUGCGACUAUCAUUCCUCAAUUCCUUUAAUUUUUGCUUAAGUUUGCAUAAAAAUGAUUAUGAAACUGGUUUUUAAGAUACGAUCACUUAUGGCUUGUUUUACUAUUUCGUAAUCAGAAUUGGAUGAAUUGAAUUGAGCAUGAGGAGGAACGUGACAAAGUUAGAAUUAGUUUUGUCCAAGUUUUGUACUAAAUUUUACAUGAUACCAUGUAUUGUUUACUACUUUUUUAUUCAUAUGACAUAAAUUUAGACUCACAUCAGCAAUCAUUUAACAGUCAAGUUGACAUAAAAUGUAACGAUGUAUGACAUUGAAAUGAAAUAACAAGUACAUGAAUAAAAUUGAAAUGUGGUAAGGGCUGUGACUGUCAUCUCCAGGAUAUGUGGUAAGGAAAGGUCCUUUGUUGAAAGCCUCUGCAAAGCUAAAACAGAGAGGGUACACGCAGUUCCCACUCCAAUACUGCUAUCUAGUAUCUACUAAUGUGUUUUAGGCAUGAAAUUGAAUAGAUUGGUACUUAGAGAGAGAUGCUUCCCUUUGCCUCCUCUGUUUUUCCCCUGUUUUAUUGCUCUGUCUUGCUAUCUUGUCCAGCUGUGUGUGUUGUGAGUUUACCAUCUUGACAUUGCGAUCGAGUUGUAAGGAAUUUUAGUGAAUUGAGUACAAUUUUCCGCAAGGGGAUGCUUGUUCUAAUUAGUUAAGAGCGUUCAUUCCCUCUGAAAUGUCACUCGUAUAAAAAACAAGAAGAAACUGAGAUGUUGCCGGCUUGCAAAUUGGAGGUGGCUAACAUCCGAUCUUGUGGGGUAGAAUUGCCGGCCUCUAUUCGGCUUCACUUAACAAAGUUGUGGAUAAAGGAGAGAUGGUGAUUGUUUGACGGGCUGGGUUGGAAAUAAUAUUUUCAAUUUUCAUUCAAUAACUUUGAAAUUGAAUCAGAUCAGAUCACAAUUUUCAAUUUCAGAAAUAUCUGGAGUAAUCUUGAAUUUUUUUGGAUAAGUUUAUGUAAAAUAUAAUAUCAAUGAACAUAAGGUACUCAAAACCAACAAUAAAAUACAAAAGUUAAUUAUAAAAUACUUAAUUUGAGUGAAUAACUAUAAAAAUCAAUAUUUCUGGAAUUUUUUUUAAUUUUUUUUUAUCAUAAUAAGUUGGGAUUUGGGAAUACUUCGGAAUAUUUUGGAUCAAAAAUUUUAAAUUCUUAAAAUACCUAAAUGCAUUUCAAAUUUUCAAACAAUAUUCGACGGAUUCGGAAUUUUUAGGUUUGGUAAUUGGUAUUGGUAUUGUGGUUAUGGGAGUGCAUUUUUGCUCAUGAUCCUCAAAUGGUGGUAAUACUCACCACCCUAUUAAUUAUCAUUAGAUGAAUUUAAAUUUUAAGAUUUGUGUUUAUCCACUAGAUUUCGAAAUUUAAACUCAUCCAAUGAUGAUAAAUAUGAUGGUGAGUAUCACCAACAUUUGAGUGGGAUUGAGCAAAAGUAUUUUCAAAUUUUGGUAUUGCUUGGCUCCAGCUACUACUAGUUUAAACCAUUUGGCUCCACUGAGUAGUAGAUUCAGGAUUCAAACUUUAGGGGUUCCAAUGUUAAAUACAAGUUUUUAGAAUAAACAGAGCAUCAUUUUAUUCACUAAGGCAUUUUGUUAAACACUUGGUAGGCUUGUUGUCGUCAAACAAACCAUGUUACCCAUAUAUCAACACAUAUUGAUAUAUGCCAAAACAAUCUAAUAUAAAAUAAUUUGUCAAGUGUCAUUAGCGCAACAUGUCAAAAUAUGCCCUAGUAGCUACUACUUGUUGCCCUCCACUUGCUACUAAUAUCGUGUUUACCAAACCGGAAUGGAGGUAGAAGAAAGGGAAUUGAAUUCCCAUCCAAGUGAUUCCGGUGUUUACCAUAGUUUAGGAAUGAAAAAAUCAGUGGGCUUCACCCAAAAUCAGUAAUCGGAUUCCUGAUAUUCCCAAAAUCAAAAUACUAACUUGAAUGUGGUAAUUGAAUUCCGGAAGAAAGCCAGCAUUUGGAAUCAAACUUCUCUACCAAAAUUGCCCUCCCCUCCCAUCUACCUCCCACGAUUCAACCACCCAAAGCACACACCCAUCCCACCUUUAACCAACGCAGACCAUCGCACCACCUCCCAGACUACCAAGACCUAUCACCCACUGGUGAAGCUACAGAGGAACAAGGAGGGGCGACCGCCCCUCGGCUCAUCUGAAAUCGCCAUUGAAAGUUCGGAUUCCACCCCUCAGAUCAUUCGAACGGUAGGAAACUGGGUAUGCUUCUGCGUUUAUGGAAGGUUUGUUGCUUAGACGGAAAGAAUGAGAAAUAGCUAGAGAGAUUGAGAGAGAGAGAGCUAGAGAGAACGAAGCGAAGAGGGACUGAAAAAAAUAGAAAAAAUAAUGAUGAUGUACUCCGAUGGUGUGCCAACCAAUAGUUUCCCAUGGGAAUGGUUAAUAUUUUAAUAAAACUAUACAUAUAUAUGUGUGUGUGUGUGAGUGUGAAAUUGUAUUAAAAACUUAUGAAUUUUUCUAUUAUUUAGAUUAAGGGUAUUUUAGUAAUCAUAUUAAUUUUUAUUCCAAUUCAGGUGAAUUAGUAAACAAUUUAUAUGAAUUUUGUUUUAUUUUUACUCUAAUUCCAAAACAUUUAAGUAAACAGUUUUAAUAGGAAUCCGAUUAUGACUCUUCCUCAAUCUAAUUCCUCUAUUUUGAUUACGGUUACGUAAACGCGCCAUAAGUUUAAAUCAAUUUGGCACCAAUAUCCAACCUGUAGCUACUACUUUUCCAACAUGGAGAGCUGAACAGACUACCAGCAAAGUCAAGUUCAGUUGUCGUAUCCUCCAUUUCUCCUUCUCCAGAAAGGUAUUCAUUUUCCCUUGCCAUCCACCAUCUUCUUCUGCACACAUAUCUUAACUUACAUUUUUUUUCCAGUUUCGAGUUUCAAAAAUUUGGUAUAUCUGCUGCUCAACUUUUAAUUACCAGAUAUCUCUGCUGCAGCCUGGGUCGGCUAAUGACAAUGACCGAUCCAAGAGCCUCCGGGUCUGGUUCUUCUUCACCUCCCCAAUGGAAGUACAACGUUUUCUUGAGUUUCAGGGGUGAUGACACCCGCAAGAAUUUCACAGGCCAUUUAUACGACAAACUGCUGUGGCGCAGCAUCAGAACUUUUAAGGACAACCCAGAACUCGAAAGAGGCGCAUCUAUAUCUCCGGAGCUCUUUCGUGCAAUUGAGGAAUCAAGGUUCGCCGUGGUGGUUCUCUCUCCGAACUACGCUUCGUCUUCCUGGUGCUUGGAUGAACUUUCAAAGAUUUUUUAUUGCAUGGAAGCAAGAAACACAAUUUUGCCAGUGUUUUAUGAUAUGGAUUCCUCCUGUUUGGGUUAAUAUUUGAACAUUGGGCUUGAACUAAGGAAAGCCCAAGGAUGUCAAUUAGAAAAGGAAUUGCCCGAAGCCCAGCAUUGAACCCAGAAGUGAAUUGAAGCCUUUUAUCCAAGAUACAAGUCACAUGGCUAUAAUGGAAAAGACAAGUGAUGAAGACUAACCUACUACCAGCCAAAUAACACUUCUGGUGGCACUUCUAGUAAAAAGUUAAUGACUCACUACCCUCCAUGUGCUUUUGGGUAAGAGCAAAAGUUACAGCAGUCAGGCUAAAUUGUCUAUAAAAUGAUGGAGAGACAACAUAGACAAGGACACUCAACCAAUCAAACAAACAAACAUACAAACUCUGCUCUCAAGCCAUAUUUGCAUCCAAAAGCUGAAAUCAACACAGAUUCAGUCCUUCUAGCGAUAGUUCUUUAGAAAAGCUAUCCCUUGCCUAGUUUAAAAGCUCUGAUAUCUUCCUCAGUGACGUAGUAUCGAUUCCCUCGAGUAAACUUGUUUACCAUCCAUCCCUUUUUAACAUAUAAACCCCAGUAAAUUCAAAGAGAAGUGACUGCAAAAAGUUCAACCUUACCAAACAAGGUGAAAUCUUGCCCGAAGCUCUUUGUUUGUUUUCUAAAUUAGUAGAUUUAUUACUUAAUGCAUUCUCCAGCAUGUAUUCAAGUUAUUCCCACAUGUUUCUCUAUUUUAACAGUACCAUUUACAUUUGGAUCUGGUUAACUUGAUAAAUAUGUUUCAUUAAAAAGUAACUUGGAACCAGAUAAAUGACUUAAAAGGCUCUGGACUCCCUUCAUUCAAACAUGCAGGACUAUGAACUAAAAGUCCUUGUUUACAAGGCAAGAAAAAGAAUUAAUGCAGACUUAACUCAUCUGUGACAAUCAUUUGAUAACGAGAAGUCUGAGUAACUUGAGGCGUAAGUAAUCAACUUAAAACAUACUUGUUCUAUAUCUGCUAUACUGAGAUAGCAGUGGCAUGCCUAGCACUUGGUUAGUUUUGAUUGCGAGUUUCAAGACCUAUACAUAAGGCCCUACAAAGGCACCUUUCAGAACUAACUUUGUUCUCUUCUUGUAACACAUCAACGAGUAAGAGCCUUCAGAACUAACUUUGUUCUCUUCUUGUAGCACAUCAACAAGUAAGAGCCCGACUAUGUAUCCAAAGUGUUAUUCCCUUGGGGAACUGUGCUGAGGUCCAGAGACCUUCUCUAGAGAAGUCUUUGCCCGAACACCUCCUAUGUCCGAAAACAAAUGGGGACUUUCACGGAAGCCUUUGACAGGCAUGAAGAGAACUUUCAGGAGGAUUCAGCAAAGGUGCGGCAUUGGAGAGUUGUUUUAACAAAAUUGGGGAAUCUUGCUGGAUGGGCUUCAAAGGACAGGUAACACCCUGAACCAAUUAACCAAUCAGUCCUAUAGUAGUAACGCAUUAAAGGUUUCGUUCUUUACAGUUUUCUUUUUCUUUCGUGUGGAUAUGAAACGGAACUUACAAAUGAAAUUGUGGAAACAGUGUGGAACAAAGUUCGUCCCACAUUCACAUUGAGUUCUAGAGAGAAGUUUGUGGAAAUUGAUUCUAAAAUAGAGCAACUAGAUAUGCUUUUAGACGUUGAGGCCAAUGACGUCCUUGCUGUAGGGAUAUGGGGGAUUGGUGGGAUUGGUAAGACAACCAUUGGAAGGCUACUCUAUGAGAGAAUUUCUCAUAGAUUUGAAGUUUGCACCUUUCUUGCCAAUGUUAGGGAGGUGUCGGCGAAACAUGGUAUUGUUAAUCUACAAAAACAACUUCUUUCCCCAAUUUUGAAGGAAAAAUUUACACAGGUUUCGGGGUAUUAUGGUGGAAGCAUGAUGAUAGAAUUGUUUAUGGAAUAAAAAGGUUCUUCUUGUUCUUGAUGAUGUGGAUCAAUUUGAGCAGUUGGAAUUAUUGGUUGGAGACAAACGCUGGUUUGGUGCGGGGAGUAGAAUCAUCAUUACAACUAGGGAUCUACGUUUGUUGGUCUCACGUUGAGAUCAAACAAUUUGACCUUAUGGGAUUAAGUGAAGAUGAAGCUCUUCAGCUGUUUAGUUGGCAUGCCUAUAAAAAUGAUCCGGAUGGCGAAUAUCUGGAGUUGUCAAAAGCUUUUGUUAAAUAUUCUGGCAAACUUCCUUUAACUCUGAAAACUUUGGGAAUCUUUUUGUGUGCAAGAGAUCGAGGUGCAUGGAUAAGUACAUUGGAUAAACUAAAGAAAGAUCCCGAAGAGACAACUUUUAAAACGCUUCUAGUAAGUUAUGACGGACUAGAUGACAUGACGAAGAAUGUUUUUCUUGAUGUGGCAUGCUUCCAUAAGGGGAAUGACAAGGAUCCAGUAAUUGAAAUACUUGACAGCUGUGACUUUCCUGGACAUAUGGGAUAGAUGUUCUUGUUGAGAAAUCGCUUUUAUAUAUUUCAGGCAAGAAUGUGGAGAUGCAUGAUUUGGUACAGGAAAUGGCAUGAAAAUUGUUCGUAGAAAGUCUAAAGAGCCUGGACGACGUAGUCAAUUGUGGCUUCGUGAGGACAUUUUUCAUGUAUUGAAGAAUAAUACGGUAAGAAAUUAUGCAGAAAUGUCGAGCUUAGAUAUACAGCACUAUAAUUUCUUCUAAAACGCUAUAGGAAUUGGUCAUGGAACUAAUUUCUGCUUUAUUUUUUCAUCAAGGAACAAAAGAUAUUGAAGGCAUAGUAUUACACUUGCCGAAGCGUGAAGAAGCACACUGUAAUUUUGAAGCGUUCUCUAAGAUGUAUAAUCUGAAGAUGAUCCAAUUUAAUCUUUUGUUCCUUUCUCCUGGCUCUGAAGUUCUUCCUAAUUCUUUAAGAUUUCUGGAGUGGAGAUAUUAUCCAUCCAAAUCUCUACCACCAAGUUUUGAACCGGAUUCUCUUACCGUACUUAGUUUGCCUACUAGUGAAAUUGUUCAACUUUGGAAUGGAAGAAAGGUACAAUAAUGGAGUAUGUAUAUAGACGUAUUUAUGUUUGCAUUUUUACAACCUUUUUAUAAAUCAAGGGUUUUUAAUCUAAUCACCACUUGCUAUUAUUCUGCAGCGCUUGUCCAAUUUGAAACAUAUGGAUCUUAGUUUCUCAAAACUAAUCAGGACCCCAGAUUUCACAGAAAUUCAGAAUCUUGAGAGGUUACUACUUGAAGAUUGUUACGAUUUAAUUGAGAUCCACCCAUCCAUUGCAGCUCUCAAAGGCUUAAGAUUUUGAACUUUAAAAAUUGUCUGAGUAUGAAGAGUCUCCCAAGUGAGAUAGCAAUGGAGUCUCUUGAAUUUCUGAGUCUCUCUCAAUGUGUCAAUCUGAAAAAGAUUCCGGAGUUUGUCGGAGACGUGAAAUAUCUGUCACGUCUUAUUUUAAGUGAGACUGCUAUUAAGGAAAUACCUCCAUCAGUUGGAUGUCUGAUUGGCCUUGUUGAACUACAUCUAGAUGGUUGUCGAAGUCUCUUGUGUGUUCCAAGUGUCAUUUCUAAUUGCAAGUCUCUUAAACUUCUCAAUAUGUUAGGGUGCUCAAAACUUAGCAAACUCUUCGAAAGCUUGGGAGUGAUGGACUGUUUGGAGGAACUUGAUUUGAGUCGAACUGCAUUAAAAGAGUUGCCAUCUUCACUUGUUCAUUUGAAAAAUCUAAAAAAGUUAUCUGUUUCUGGAUCUCCUGCAUCAUGGUAUACUUUUGGGAUUUUUAAAAGAAGGAUUCCCCACUCUUUGGGUUGUUCGGUUUUCAGUUCUUCAAAAGGCUUAUGUGCUUUGAAGGUAUUAGAUCUGAGAGACUUGAAUCUUUGUGAAGGAGCAGUUCCAGAAGAUAUUGGCUACUUGUCCUCUUUAGAAGAAUUAAAUUCUUAGUGGAAACAAUUUUGUUACCCUCCCUGAAAGCAUUAGACGGCUUUCUAAGCUUUCAGUAUUAUAUUUGGAGAAUUGCAAGAGCCUUCGCCAGUUGUCAGUUCUUCCAUUAAAUGGCACAUUAUAUGUAUUCACAUAUGAUUCUACUUCCUUAAGCAUGUUGUCAGUUCCACCACCAAAGUUGGGCCUCUACGCCAAUCUGUUAGAAUUUUCCUUCAGGUGCUGUUAAUUGCUCUGGUCUAGUAGUUGACAAUCAUGGUUGUAACGGUAUCAUAUUUUCGGUGCUAAGGUGAUUGCCUCAGGUAUUCUCUCUCUCUCUCUCUCUCUCUCUCUCUCUCUUGUUUGAUAUAAUUGUUUCUAUGGUCCAGGGAAUUUCUCGAUCUGUCAAGCAAUUCUAUACGGUAAUUCCAGGAAGCUAUAUUCCUGAGUGGUUCGGUAAUUAAUGUCACGCCCCAAUCCCGAUCUACGUCUAGGAUCGACACGUGACGUCAUAAAAAAUCCGUAUAUCUAACAUACUCCGUCUCCGGGAUAUGUACCAAGCUCAAUCAUGCCUCGAAUUUGCGUAGUAAUUUUUUUCGUAUACUUUAUGGCUGCAUCUAACCUCCUCGUUAGACUGCUUAUGUAUCCUCAAUAUGGAUCAAGUCAUUCGUAGUUCACCAUUCACAAAAUCAAACAUUUAUCCCACUUAGUUCAAGCAGAAGAACAUAACAUUUCUCAAUCAUUUAAUAUAACAUGAUAGCAUGAAAUUCCUGGGCUUAGGCUACAUAACAAACCCUCAUGAAAUCAUGAUUUCCCUUCCAUCCAACAUAUAAAUCAUUAUGUCUCAUCAUGAUAUCACAAUUCACAACAUAUAUCAUAUUUAAGAACCAACAAAACACAAAACCAUCCUCUAGCCACAUUAAUUAAUUAAUUUGAUCAAAGUAAUAACAAUCAUUUCCAUAUCUUCUAAAUUCAUACCUUAUGAAAUCAUAAUCGAAUCGUAGAAAAUCCCAAAGGAGUCACCUAGAGGUCCAACAUCCUUUCUAACUCAAUUCACAAGAUUCUCGAAACCAUUGACACAAAUAUAUAGAAAACUAAGGCUAGAGUGUCACAGUUAUGCCAAGCCUACUUCUCCAAAUAAUGGGAUUUCAGACCACUUUACGAAAUCCAACAAGCUCGGGUUCCGGACCACUAAAUGGAACCAAACUAAAUAUGAUCGCCUAUCAAAUGUACCAAGUACAACUAAGCAUCAUCACCUCUAGAAUGUGUAUGGUCUCCCAUCGCAGAUAUACCAAGCAGAACCAUAGGCAUAAUCUCAUCGUGCAGACAGUGAUCACCUAUCGCGGAUAUACCAAGCAUGAUCACCCCUAACAGUCCCCCAUCGCGGAUAUACCAAGAAGGAUUGUUUCAUAUAACUCUAGGUAGUGAUCACCCAUUGCAGAUAUACCAAGCAUGAUCACUCAUGGCAUACGUAUGGUCCCCCAUCGCGGAUAUACCAAGCAGGACCAUCCAUGUACCACUACUACAUGGUGCGGUCUCAUCAUCACACAUUAUACCCAAUUAUACGUAUACACGCAAUCAUAUCCAAAUAAUUAUCAAACAAUAAUUAUAUCCCAUAAUUGUCAUAACAUUCAUCGUAAUUAUCAUUCACAUUAUUAAAAAGAUAAUUAAACACAUAUAUCACAAACACCAUCAGUACACAAGCCAAAUCAUAUGUAAUAAGCAUAGGUCUAUGGCUAAAUAUAUAAAAAGCACAUUUCAAUAGAAAUCAUAUUUAUAAGACUAAAUCAUAUUCAUAAAUGAUACCAAUAUAAGAAAUUAAGAUAAUAAUCAUAUCUCAUAUAUUCAAGUCACUAUCUAACCAAUAUAGGCCCACUAGACUUCAAUUAGUCCCGUAGUACUAAUUUUAUUAUUUAAAACGUUUCGAGACAUGUUGACCACAAGUCAACUCUCGGUCAACGAUAGGGUCCACAACUCUACGUAAUUCGAUCAUGAAGAUCCACAUCGGAUUUCUGAUCCAUAACUUCCCAAAGUCCACAUUAUGCUUCUAGAAUAACAUACUAAAAUUUCAUUAUGAUCCAACGGUCGAAUUGUCGUCAAUCACACAAACAAGUGGUGGUCCAAUUUGAUCACCAUACCAAACAAUUGAAUUUCGGGAAACCGAGCUAGACAUAGGUUCACAUGGUCACUAGAAGGUAUUUGGUACUUAGACAACACUCGUGGAUGAUCCCACGCACCGCCACAUGCAAUGGUAGCCAAGGUGGAGGGUUUAGAAACCCCGAAUUUUCAACAUUAACUAAAUGAGCUCAAAUUUACAUGGUAGCUAGAGCUCAACAAGGGAAACACUUUUCACAACUAGGACAAUGAUAAAUUCUAACCAGAAAUCGUCCAAAUUCACCGGAGAAAACCGGAUUUCUAGGGUUCUAAACACCCAACUCUAAAAUGAAUACGAAAGCAAAAACUAAGCAUACCAACUUGAAGAUUAUGAAGAGUAGAUGAAGUUUCAUACCUUACUCAAAGGAAAUGGUUGCCGGAAUCACCAUAAAAAUGAUAAAACCGCUGGAAAAGUCGUGGGCUUUGUGGCUUCGAAUUGCAAAGAUGGAAAAGAAAAUAGGAAAUCUAACACUACAGAGAUGUAGGGCUCGUCAAGAGAUUUCCAUGGACAUCAAGAUCACCCAAAACGGAGCUCGGACGAAGGAGAUACAAGUGGGUCAAGUUAGUGGGUUAACGAGUCCAUCCCCCCCCCCCCGCCCCCCAAAAAAAAAGGGGUUAGAAUCAGAUCCCUUCCCUUUUUUUUUUUUUUUUCUUUUAAGAACCUCCCUCCUUUCUAAUUGGUGCCUUCCUCUUUUUUUUUUCUCUGAAUGGUCCAUCAACAACUAAUCUAAUUGGUCCUCAACUUUGAUUGGUUACCAUUCCCACAAGUUGGGAGUUUUAAUUAAUUUAUAACCUAUAGUUAGUAAAACGAUUUCAAACGUCCGUAACUAUACCGUAAUAAUCCGGACUCGCUAACAGUUUUCGCCUAUGCGUUUGUGGUUUCGAGCUCUAUUCGAAAACGUUACUUGUGACCUUGAAAGGUCAACAAGUAAAUAAUAAUUUUCCAAAUUUCACUCUUCGUAACUAAUUUAAUUGAAAUCUAAAUUCAAAUAACCUUUGGUCUAGCUCCACUAGUGGUUCAAACUCGUAUUUAGUGAUAAUUGAACUUAAGACCUCUCACUUACAAAUGAAGAGGAAUAUUAUUAAACCAUAGUGUUAAGUGACAGUUUAAUAAUUAGAUUUAAGAGCUCAAAUUAUAAAUUUUGUUAAUUAACCAUUUGUGGUUUUUUAUUUUUUAAUUAAAGCGCUUUAAAUUUUGAUUGAUGUGCUUCCACUUUUAUCCAUGUCAUUUUUCUAAUUUGCAAUUCAAUAUUUUUACACAUAACAGCUUUGUACGUACUAAAAUUGGGAUAUCACAACAUACCAGUAGCAUGGUAUGUACCAAGGAAGGAUUACAUGACGUACCAAAAUUAAUAUUUGAUAACGUACUAAAAUACAAAUACAUACGCAAAUUAAAAUUACACAACGUACCAAUAAUACCAAAUUAUUGGUACGUUAUAUUUAUGUAUAUUUGCAUAAAUAUAUCAUUUCUAAUAAUUAUAUGUCAACAGAAUUUUUUUUUUUUUUAGAAUUUUAAAAACCUAGCUUGUUAUAUGAAUAACAAAAAAAUUAUUUUGAGCUUGUUAUUUGAAUAACAAAAAAAUUAUUUUGAAGUGAAAUUAUUAUAAAAUAAGAUUUAUCAACUAGAAUUUAGGAGUUUUGUAAUAAUAAUUACACCUCUUUUUUAAGACAUCGAUAUUUUUACACUUAGGGGAGGAAGAGUUUGGCUAAACCAGAUAAUAGGCAACGUAAUUUGGUAUCGAAUUCGUCAUCCACGAGAUUCGAACCUAAGACCUCUCACUUCUAAGUGAAGAGGAAUACCAUCAGUGUCACAUCCCGACCUGGGCCCCCACCACAUCCCAGGCUCGACUCCGCCGUAGCACGAUAUUGUCCGCUUUGGGUCCCAACCAUGCCCUCAUGGUUUUGUUUCUGGGAACUCACAUGAGAACUUCUCAGUGGGUCACCCAUCAUGGGAUUUGAGAUUGCUCUUGCGCAAACUCGAUUAACUUUGGAGUUCCGAUGGAACCCGAAGUCAGUGAGCUCCCAAAAAGCCUCGUGCUAGGAAGAGAUGGGCAUGUACAUAUAAGGCUUAGAGGAUUCACUCCCUUGGACGAUGUGGGAUCUUACAAUCAGACCGUAGUACUAAAUGGCAAUAAUAAUUAAGCUUUAAAUUAGCUAGUAAAUUAAAUAUUAUGAAGAAAAAAUUAAUAAAAGAAUGUUUGAUCAAAAGUCUUAAAGCUACAAAUAUUUGAUUUAAAAAAUACAAAAAUGAGGCAUCUAUAUUAAACCGCUCAUUUGCAAAUAUACUCUUCGGUUGGAAUUACAAUACAAUACAAUUCUUCUCUAUAGCAAUACUGUUAAUCAUAUUAUUAGGACAUGAAGAUUAUGUCAAGCCCCCUAAGGUGGACUCCAAAGUUCAUAUUAAUAAUAAUGAAUAUAAUGUAGAAUACUCUCUUAAUUAUAUUCAAUAGGCUACGCAGAGAUUUAUGAAUCAUAUUUUAGAGCAUUCUCAUUCUUUUCCGAAAGUAGAGAUACCUUGCUAUACACUCGCAUGUCUCUACGAAUAAUUCUAAUACCCAGCAGUGCGUGGAAAAAAACCUAGAGUUAUGAUGCAUCGUCAAAUGAUAAAAAAAAUAAAAAUAUAUAUAAAAUUAAAUUAAAAAACAUCUCCAUAAGACAAAGACAAUUGUGGUGUCAUAUGUCUAAGGACUAAUUGCAUUAUUGUAACUUUAGAGUUUCUUAUUUGACAUGUCAGUAAAGACUUUCAUAUAAGAACUCUCCAUUGAUCACAUUUAGUGAACUUAUUCUCUAUUGAUCACCUACAUACAUAUCUUAGUGUCUUUCACACCAAUGACUUGAGACUAUUCACUCUCUCAAGAUAGAAAACAUAGUAUGUACUUAUCUUAUCAAAUUGUCAAUGUCCAAUUUGCAAUCUUAUAACCAGGAACGUUUAGGAUAUGUGUAUGAAAAAGAAAUGUCUUAUAAAGCUAACCUCUUUAGAUUAAAUUCUCUCAAUUACAUAUUCAUUGAACUUAUUAUUUAUGCAUAUAACAUUUAAUAAGACAACUUUAAACAAUAAUCUUUGCCCUUAGAUUAAACUAUAUUAGUUUAAUAUAUAAAAUAUCUGUAAGUAUCAUCUUAUGCUUGCCUUUUAAAGUACAUAUCCAACACAUCGUGCCCACACACAAUACAGACAACAUGCCGGCACCUUGCCUAGAUAUGCCAUGUCAACAAACUUGCCCACUAUGCCUUUCCAAAAAAGGUUGGAGAAAGCUUACUAAGCACAAAUAUUUUGUUGCGCAAAAUGCUUCCUUAAUUAACCCAGCUAUUGCAAACUUGGAGCCCAAAGAGUUCUAAAAGGGUGCGUUUGGUACGUGGGAUGGGACGGAACGGAGUGGGACGGACGUGUUCCGUCCCACGUUUGGUGCGCUAAAAUUAUGUGGAACGUGCGUUCCACGGAACGAAAAUGGGUUAGAUUUUGGUUCCCCCUCCCCCUGGAACGGGUUUUUCCAUCCCGUGGGACACAAAAUUAUAUUUUUUUGGACAACAAUACCCCUCUUAUUUUUCAUUAAUUACAUUGUCUACCUCCCUUUCUCUUCCGUAACCUCCCUCUCUUCUACCCUUGUCUCUCUCGUAGCCCUCCUCUUCUUCCACCACAAACCCAGUAACCCAACUCCUGACCCAAUCCCAGCAAACCCAUCCGACGACGUCACCAUAGCAAACCCUCUUCUUCUCCGGCGCCGUCUGGCGUCACGAACAUGACCCGCAUCUCGUCAUCUCCGUCCGUGUAAGCGAGGUAGAUUUGAUUCGAAACACGACCCGAUUUGAAGCUAAGCUUGUCAUUAGAGGUGGCGAGCAGGUGGGCGAUGCUGGGAAGGGGGUUGUGGUCCUGGUUGAGGUGGUUGGGGUCGAUCUCGGACUCGUUCCAAUGGAAAAUCCGGAAGGAGUAGUUGAAUCGGAGAUUGACCAGAGGGAGGGAAAUGGAGUCCGACCCAGAUUUCCAUGUGGGGGCGGAGGAGAGGAACUUAUAGUCUAUAAAGUUUUCGUGGUGGGAGGAAGAGGGCGAGUAGAUGCUGAGCCAGUAGAGUCGGGAGGGCGAGUCGAUGCCAGACCAUUGGAUUAGGACGGAGUCGCCCAAUUUGGAGAAGGAGGUUAGGGAGAGAGAGAGUGAAACAAUUUGGUGGGUCGGAGGGAAGAAGGUGUACAAACAAGGCUAAGUUUGUCAUUUAACACGAAAUACGAACCGUUCCGUCCUAUGCAUACCAAACAUAAUACGAACCUCUAUUUCGUUUCGUUCCGUUCCGUCAUGUCCCGUCUGCGUACCAAACGAUACCAAAGGAAUAGAUCUUCCUCUAUCUUGAUCUAUCACACAUGGCAGAUCACCAUAAUGAUCUUCCACCUACUUCACGCUCACAUCUGAAGGAAAGAUUCGAAAGGCCGUAAGAUUGCCUGCCAAACACUAAUCAAAGGCCUGCUUUGCUUUCAACCUCCGCAGACUUGGUGAAAACCUCCCGUCCUCGGAGAGUGAGCCACUAUGCUCCUGCAAAAGUUACCUUGACAAAACUCAAAUUUCUUUAAAGUUGCCAUGGAAAACUGCCGCAUAAUUCCCGUCAAAGACAAAAGUAUCGAAGGAAAGGCCCACAAGACUCUAAUAUAUGUUGACUGUCAUUUUUUACUGUUGUAUACUUGACAUUUUCUUUGAAAAUACUUUUAGAAAGAAGAAAUUUCAAGUGGCCAAAUCGGUCCCACCUGCAUCAGCCAAGCUAGCGCUCAUGCGCCUGCCCAAUUGUCAGUGCCCCUGCGCCUGCAACUAUUGACGCCCCCACGCCUGCCUAAAUGUCACUACCCCUGCACCAAUUUACGAGAUAGAAUCCUCGUCAGAUUUUCUUUAUAAGGAUCUCGAAGAUCCUCUAAUAAUAUUCGUUCAAAAUUUACAAUAAUUUAUGAUUGAAUGAUAUACCAUGAUUGUAUGUAAUUGAAGAAUUGCAAGAUCUUCACAAAAAUGAUCCUCACAAAGAGAAUCUGACAAGGAUCCUCUAACAAAUUCAAAUCCAUCCUUGCGCGACAUUUAUCAGACCAAUGUCGAAAGGAAGAAGAUAGGGUGUGGUCAUUCAUUCCACUCAUUCGCGCAAAGAAGAAGGAAGAGGAAGAGGGAAAAUUUCCAUAGUUAGGAACUUUCCUCGCUCGAUUCUCUACGUAAAUCCCGAAGUAUCAGAGUAAAGAUUAUUCAUCUCAAAGCCUUGUGAGUAGGAAAAAUAGCGGUCUGCUUAACAUGGGUUAUUAGCUCAAUAGGAAACAUAGCAGUCUGCCUAACAUGGUCUGCAGCCUUUACCUUCCAGCUGUCUGUUAAGAGUCUCUCCUAUAAAAUUCAAGUCGCAUAAGAGAUCCGUAAUUGCAAUUAUUACUCAUAAUUCUAUAUGUUCUAGUUUCUCUCAAAUUAAUUCUGACUUAGACAUUAAGGACCUUUUGACAGGACACCUUCCUCCUUUGCUCAAAGGUGCUCGUUAAUUAGGCAUGGUGUUUAUUGUUUUACAGUUGUGAUUUCAUCUAACCAACCUUGAACGAAAUUUUCAUCCACUUUCAAUGUUACAUACUAAGGAUAAAGCUAUAGUUAAUAACAAAUAAUUACAUUGUUAUUAAUGUAACAAAGUUGGUGUUUAUGUUCCGAAAACAUCUUCAAAUGAGAUAUAAAAAUAUUUAAAUCAACAAUAAAAGUAAGAAAAGAUAACAAUAUUUUCCAAUCAAGAAGUUUAAUUUGACGUGGUAUGACAUGAAAUAACAUAUCUCCCUUGCUACCAAAUUUGAUAGCAACUUCAUAUAUCAUUUAAUUAAUUUUUUUUAUUUAUCAAAUCUGCAACUCUCCUUUCUCACUCUAAUCUGAGAAUCUCAGCCUCGGCCGCUAGUCCUUCCAUUUUCUCAAAACCAAACCCAUAAACCAACCUCUCUUACUUGAACCUCACGAUCUCGGCCUCCGCAGUCUUCUCUCCAUUAAUCAUUGGAAAGUCAAUGAUUCAUAAAUUUGAGUUCGCAAUUUAUGAAAUCCAGAGAGAGGGAGAGUUAGAAAGAGACGAAUGAGGAAGUAACUGGGGAGGAACCGAUGAUUGUGAUUCAAUUGGGAGGUGGAGCUCCGACGGACGUGAACGCAGUUGAUGGAACCCAAGAUUGUGAAGUGAGUUUAGCAUCAGAGAUUUGAUUGAAGAAAUGGCGGGAAGAGAGAGAGAGAGAGAGAGAGAGAGAGAGAGAGAGAUUUGAUUGAAGAAGUGGCGGGAAGAGAGAGAGAGAGAGUGAGAGAGAGAGAGAGUGAGAGGGAGAUUGAAUUGAAAAAGAAGCGGAAAAGUUGUUAUGUUUAGUUUCAGGUGUGGAGGUGUGUGACUGAUUUAACUCGUGAGAUGAGAAAUUGUAAUGUCCAAGAUGUUUUGUCUUUAUGUUCAGUUCAUCCCCAGAUCCGAAUAGAUAUAAUUUGACGAGGAUCCUUAUCAAUUAUUUAUAUAUGUAAAAUUUAAAAUAUAUAAUUGAAAUUUUGAAAAGAAAAUAGUGUAAUAAAAUAAAACUUUAAAAGAUGUUAAAGUAUUAUAUAAAUUAUUAAAUUCAAAUUUUAUGUUUAAAUUUAACAUCUCAUUAUGAUAUGCUCUUAUUACACUGUCAAAGUAGGUGAUCAUGGAUAAAUGUGAUUACAACAAAAUGUUAUUGUUUAAAUGAAAAGGUAUCGAACUAAUAUAUUUUAAAGGCUAGAACAAUUAAUUCUUUCACACUGAGUUAAUACAUUACCAAAUCCAACCACAUCAUGAAUCCUUGAGUAAUGACUAGUGUAGUGUGAGAAUUGAAAUCCCCACCUGCCUUCGUAUGCUGCUACAGACUGGAAAGGUGGGGGUUGUUGGCAAGGUUUAAUUAAUUAAUUUUGAAGCCAGUUAUAAUAAUUAGAUAUGUAUUUUCCAAGACUGUAUCCAUAAAGUCAAAGGGAUUACGUAUUUAUCUGCGUAUGUAUACGGUAUAACCCAGAAAAAGAGACAAUAAAUUUCAUAAAUGUUGAUAAACGUGUUUUUUUUUAUUAGUGACACAUCAUUUAAUUUGUAACUUUAAUCAAUAAAUUUAAUUUUUCUAAUAUUACUCUUCCUGAUGUAUAUCAUCAGCAGAAACAAAACGAUUAAUUGUUCAUUUCACUGAAUUGGCUGUCUGUCGCUGCCUUUUCAGUUUUCAUAUUUUUAUAUAGGAAAAUCAAUUUUCCCGACUCGUUUAUUCGUUUUUUCUUCGUAUCCAUCUCUGUUCAUAUUUGACCUUUAAAUUAAGUAGAUUAAAAGAGAGCUAAAAGAUAAAAUACACAUAAAGUCUGCGGUUAAAACAAAGUGCUAAAAUCAUAUCCGUUCUAUAUAACCCCCUCUUCCCCCAAUCUUCAUUCACGGAGUUUGCAAAAAACAACAUUUAGAAAACAAACAUGAAGAAAUCCACUUCAAAUUUCAAAUUCCACCAAGCCUUUUUCGUAGCACUUUUAUUAACCACAACUCUCUUAUCAAUUAACAUGCAGUCUAAUUCAAUCCGAUCCAAUCCAGUCCAAUACAGUAACAUCCUCCAUUUUCUCUUCACCACCAACCCUACACUUUCAUUGUCUUGCAUUUGGUGCCUUUCGAUUUCCAUAUUUUUCUACUACUACACCUCUCGUCCCAAGUCCAUCUUCCUCCUUGAUUUCUCAUGCUUCCAACCAAACCCUAACCAAAAAUGCAGCUACGCAGCCUCCGAGUCCUUCGUACGCAGGACGAAUCGCUUCACCGAAGAAAGCGAAGAAUUCAUGCGUAAAAUCUACCUCAAAUCCGGCUUAGGAGACGAGACCUACGCACCCCCAUUCGUCUUCGAAUCAAACCCCGAAGCGAACUUGAAAUAUGCUCUAGAUGAAGCUCAACAAGGCAUGUUCUCAUCCAUCAACUCACUCCUUGCCAAAACCAACAUCGACCCAAGUUGUAUCGAUUGCCUAAUUGUUACAUGCGGGAGCUUCUCUCCCAUGCCCUCCCUCACAUCCCUCAUUGUCAACCGUUUCAAGCUCAAACCCGACGUAAAGACGUACAAUCUAAGUGGAAUGGGAUGCAGUUCCGGAGUAAUAUCAAUUGAUCUAGCCGCCAAUCUGUUGAAGCAAAGCAAAAAAAUUGGUUAUGCUCUUGUGGUCGUAACCGAGACUAUUAGUUUGGAUUGGUACUAUGGCGAUAACCGUCCCAUGCUUGUAACCAAUUGCAUUUUUCGAGUCGGCUGUGCGACCGCAUUGAUCACAAACGACCCGAGUUGCCGCCGAGUUGCAAAGAUGGAACUCGUUCACUCGCUUCGUACUCACCACGGAGCGAGUGAUCGAGCUUAUAAAGCCGCAUUUCAAGAGGAGGAUAACAAGGGCAAUACCGGGUUUGCUCUUAAUAAAGAUUUAACAGCGGUUGCAGGCAUGCAUUUACUUGAGCACAUCAAAAUUCUUGCUCCCCGAGUCCUGCCACUGACUCAACUUGGUGUUUACGUGUACUCGGUCAUUGGUUGUGCAUUUUCAGGGGGGAAGUCGAAACCGAUAGUCCCGGAUUUCACCAAGGCAUUUGAUCAUUUUUGUAUUCACACGGGUGGGAAAGCGGUGAUCGAGCAGGUUGGGCGGGUUCUGAGUUUGAGUGACGCGUUGACUGAGCCGGCUCGGAUGAGUUUGCACCGAUUCGGGAACACGUCGAGUAGUCUUGUAUUUUAUGAGUUAGCAUAUUUUGAGGCUAAAGGGAGAGUUAGGAAAGGAGAUAGGGUUUGGAUGUUGGCGUUUGGGACAGGGUUUAAGGUCGGAAGUCUUGUUUGGAAGGCAGUUUCGGAUUUAGGGCAAGGUGGUGAUGACAAUCCAUGGAGCGACUGUAUUGAUAGGUACCCAUUGAAGUCAUGGUAAUUAAUUAUGAUGGUUGAUAGCUACUCACUGGUAGCAAGGGUUUCAUAUUAUUUAUUCUGAAAUUUUGUUAAAGAUUUGGCCAUGGAGUUACUGCAUUGAUAUAUAUAGAUUGCGAAUAAUACAAGCACGAAAAUGGACCAUCUUUUCUUUGAUUCAAGAAAAGGAAAAAUAGAGAAGAAAAGGACUCUCUCCAUCUUUGUCUACUGUUUAAGUUUAUUUAUACUGAAUGAAUGUAAGAGCCAAUUUAUAGCUCUGAUUAAAUGCGCAACCACUAGUGAUUGACAAUAAUAAAAUAAGUAUUUCGUUCAUAAGAGACCAUUUAAUAAUAUAAAAAAAAUAUUGAUGGUUUGAAAAAAAAUAAAAAAAAUAUUGAUGCUAUCACUAUUGUCAUGUGUUUGCCUUGUUUUAUAUUUUGAGAGCUCAAGUUAGGCUUGGCCUACUUCUUAGACGAGCACAAUUAUACGAGUUGAAUUCGUGCGAGCUUAAAAAAUUCGAGUCAAUACCAAGCUCUAGUUGGUUAUAUGUUGAUUGUGUAAAUUUUUUUGUAGCUCAAUAAUGUUAGAGUAUGACAAUCUAAGACUAUUUUGACCAGUUUGUUUGAGUUCAAAUUCGUUAAGAAAUAUUUUAAAUAAGGAGGAUUACAUGUUCUAUUCCAUAUGAAAUUAGAAAUUAAUAUAUGAACUAUUUUUAUCACUUAUAAUUUGACAAGAAGAUUUUGUUGAUUUUCUAUAUGGACUCUAAUAGAAGAUGAGAUUAAUUGUCUACAUAAAGGUGGCAUAUGCUGGUACAAUAUGACGCGCACUCACUAUUGAACUAAAACAUAUCGUUGGUUGAGCAUUUAGCUGUCUGACGGAGAGUAGAAAGUUGCUUUGAAAACCAUGACUUCAUUCUACAUGUAAGAUUGUUAAUAAAAAUAAUAGAAUAUAUAAAACAUCAAAGAAAUGCAACAAAAAGUUUUCAAGCACACUACUUUAAGGUAGAAAGUAUAAACUUUUUUCUUUUUUAAAACAAAUAAUUUAUGACUAGAACUUAGUGAGAGACGGAAAGAUGAUCUGUUCCAUUAAAGUUACCGGAUCAAGUGAUCCGGGUUUUUAAAUUUUGAUCCAACGACUAAAAUUAUUAUAACUUUUAAAGGAGAUAUUUGUUUCUAGCUGUUGGAUCAAAUUUCAAAAGUUCAAAUCACUUGAUUCGGUGACCUUGAUGGAAGAGAUUCAGAGAGGAUCUCUUUUUGUGAGAGACUAGAUCAUCACGCCUAUAGUUUCUUUGAAAACAAAGGAGUACAAAAGGACAUAAUGACUUGAAAAAAUGAAACAAAAGAUCAUCAAGUUAAAGUUAAAGUAUAUAUACACUAGCAUAUGCCUACACAUUUUGUGUGUGUGAAUAUUUUUAAAAUGGGAAGGAGAGUGGGAGAGAGAGAACGUGGGAGUAGGAGUAGGAAGAGAGGUUUUUUAUUUUUUAUUUUUAAAUAUUAGAUAUAUGCUAAAAUCCCAUGUAGGUGGUCACUUAGUACUAUGGUCUAGUGAUAUACAUCUUCACUUGUAAGUGAGAGGUCUUAACUCAAUUAUCGUUAAAUGCGAAUUUGAACCACAUUAUUGCUAGCUUAUUGUGAGACGUAGCCUAUGAUAAAAGACUAAAUAAUGUUUCCACCUCUUUUGACUAAUAAAAACGAUUCUAUUAAUAUUUGAUUUAGAAAUAACUAGAAAAUAAGCCCGCGCGUUGCAGCGGGAACCACUGUUUCAAGCGUAACUGCAUGAAUAAGACACAUUUAACCUUAAUAAAUUCAACACAAUCAUAAAUGAACAGAGAGACAUGAGUGAAUGAGGCCAAUAAGAAACGGUUUCGCUUUUAUACACAUAACCUGAAUAAAUUCAACACAAUUACGAACAAACAAAUGGAUACAUAAGCGAAUGAGGCCAGUAAGAAGCGGUUUUGCUUUUAUACACAUUUAAGUGAGUUGGCAUAUAAACACAUUGUACAAUGAGUGGGAAAAACCUGUACGUGUUUGAUUAGAAAGAGAUGGUUUUCAAAAAAUAACAUUAAGUUCACACAUAAUAUGUGUUCUGCAUUGUAAGCAGCUAGUUGAACAGGUAAUUUAAAACAGAAAGUGUUGAGGACUUGUUUAAGUAGCUAAUUUCGGAACCACAACUGUUCAAAGGCACAAAAACAGAAUUGUCCGUUUCCAUAUGAAACUGAAGAAACAGAAGCAAGCUGGAGUUUACACAUAUUUUGCGCCUGCAAUUAAGACGGCAAAAUAUAUGCUUUGCAACCUACAUACCUCACUUAGUAGUUGGCAAAACACAAAAAAAGUGGUGUUUGAGCAGGUAAGUCGUCAACCAUAGAUGUUCACUCAUGGCCUACUUUUUAUUCAAGUUCAUGUAAAGAAAAUUGGUCUUUUAACAUGCUCUUUUCUAAAUUUUAAAAAGAAUAGUAAUUUUGUAAAUAAAUUCAAAUCCCAAAUUGAAAUUGCAGUGUAACCAAGCCACAGUUUAUCACAUGGUUUUUUAUCCUAGCCAUAAUUAGACUAAUGUGAUUUAUACCUAUAGACUAAUGUGCUUUUUCACAUGUUUUUUUCUCUCAAAAUUUAUAGAAAUAUGAAAAUGAUCAUCACAAAUUUCAAAACCUGCAUUAACUAAAAUUAAAAGGAAAUGGACACCAUGAGUGCUUGCAAGAUGAGAGAAGGGAAACAAAAAGGAAAUGGUGCAUUUGAACAGAAUGAUGAUAAUUUAAAACUUUAAUUAUGAAAAUGCUUAAUUUUCAUGUGUUAAAUGAAUGAGGAUAUCUUAAAACUUUAAUUAACCGGAAUGAUCAGGAUCUUUUAAAACCUGUUAAAAAAACACCAUAAAUUCUAACGAACUUAGAAAACUAUGUUGGCUUUAAAAAUGCAAUUACAAAAUUCAAAGAAAUGAGAACAGUCAAACUAAAUUAGGUAUUCUCCUCAAUACCAUCGGCACAUCUUUGACUUGCAAGAAAAAUAAGCAAUGAUAUAUAUAUAAUUGUGUUCCCAUGUCUCCAUUUUUCAUUUUCCAAUAAAUAUGAAACCAAACCUAUCAACCAUUUAUUCAACUCAGUGCACCAACUUGUUAUAUAACUAAAGGUCCAAAUGAUAGGUCUAAAAAAUGGUAUCUCGCACCAACAAUAGGACAUUAAUUAGUCAUGACUUGUGCUUAUGCAUACAAUGCUUUACUUGACUCAAUAGAAACAGAUAGAUGCUCAUGUCUUUCUUGGUACAUAUACUCAUAUUGUGCUUAAUUAGCAUCACACAUCAUAAUAUUAAAGUUCUAAUCAUGUUAACCUAUGUAGCAUAUGCAUUCAACUCGAUAUUAAAGUUCUAAUCAUGUUAACCUAUGCCAUGUAGCAUAUGCAUUCAACUCAAUACCCUAACAUUACAGGCGAAAUUAAAUGAUAUUAUCAAGAAGUUGAGACUUUACCAAAGCAGGAAGGCAGCGGUUGUAAAAUUCACGGUCAAAAGCUUUCACUUUCUUUCGAUCUGCAAAAUACCAAAAAGAUAUUCACGAUCGAGGAAAGAAAACACAUUUCAUUAAAGAAUGCACUUCAACCAUUAUCAAAUUGUCAACCGAAGGAAAUGUAUAAAACUAUACACAUUUACACAGCCAAACUCUAUACUUUUUAUCAGCGAAAAAAAACAACAAUUUACCUAACAAUAAACAUAAAAUUACAUAUUCAAAUUGAUUCGACAGUUUUUAAAGAUUCAAAAACUGAACCAACAGAUAUUUUUUUGAAUAUCAUACUCAUUGUGUCUUCUGAAUUUGCUUGUAUACAUAAGCUACCAACGCAAUCACUCUGCUACCACAAGCGGUAAGCUAUUAAUAGCAGAGGUAAAAAACAAAUUACAGAACAAACUCGCAACCAAAAUGAGUUACGAUAUUUAGCAAAUUUUAUGUAUCAGUACUAAAAUUUUCAACAGGAAACCAAACUGCAUCUUCUGUGAAUGUUCAUUGCUUACUAAAAAGAUAAUAUAGUGGUUUGAAAAAUUUUAAACCCACUCACACCUGACAUCAGAAAUUCAAACCAAUUUCCACUAUUUAUGAUGACCUUCUUUCAUUGAGACCAUCAGAUGUACUGAAUUCUACGCUACUUAACAGCCUCAACCGCCAUGCCAAAAAAUCCAUACACAAUCCUCUCUCUAACAUUUUUUCACUCAGUUUCCAACUCAAAUCAAUCUACAUACUAUUGGGUUUUACUGUGAGCUCAAAUCAGCAUGGUUACCACUAAAGCUCAAAUCUUUACCAAAAUCCCGACAUCGUCCUCUCUCUCUCUCUCUCUCUCUCUCUCUUUCUCUUGAUGACUUGCACGUUUAAAAAUCAAGGGUCCAGAAAACCUUCAAAAUGAUAAAUAAAAAAUUACAUCCAAUCCACCCAUUACAACCCCUGGCAUGAAACUAAAUCCCACACCUACUCAAAAGACAUAAAGCAGAAAAUUACUCAAUUUCAAAAUCCAAAUCAGAAAAUCAAACCUCACCGUUGCUGUCGCUCACCUCUUCAUCCCGCAUAUCUUCUCCUCAUAUUAUGAUAAAAGACCUCUCUUCAAGUUUGGCCUCAGAUAGUUGGUCCAUCUCAGGCUGCAACUUUUCCAAACCUUAAUAAUCCUGCAAUUCAGACCAACCCACUACAAUCAUAAUCAGUUUUUCCAGACCUUAAUAAUCCUGCAAUUCAGACCAACCCACUACAACCAUAAUCAGUGAAUUGUUGACAUUAAAACAUAUGAAAUUACAGCCCAUUUGAUAUUAGAUUAAGAUUUUCAUUGUUUUAAUAGAAACACCGAAAAAUGAACAUUUCACAGCGAAGAACUAAUUUCUCAUUAUUUAAAAAUUAGUCAUCAAAUUUCAUAAAUAAAAUUAAAAAAAAAACCCCAAAAGAAUGCAAAAAAUUGGAACCUUUGGGUGAGCAAAUAGAAGACAUCACCCUCAUUCCACAUAUUUCCAUUGUGCUACAAAUUCACUACUAAAUAGCAAAAAAUUCAAGUUUGCUAGUCAUAAUAUAUCUCAAAAAUUAACUCCUAAAAGUAAUAAGAAAAGAAAAAGCACUAAAAUUGACAAGGAAGAAAAGUUAAAUUGAUUACUGUUUGUUAGUCAUUUGAAAUAUCCAAGUCACAAAUUCUAAUUCUCUAUAACCGAUGAGCCAUAUUGAGCUCAUUUGUGCACUCGAUACAACCUAUGAGCCACAUUGAGCUCAUUUGAAAUAUCCAAGUCACAAACCCCCCCCCCCACCCCCACAGAGGCGCAUAUAUAAAGUGACAGUUUAUCUUCGGAGUCUCAAGAACACGACCCUUGACCUGAGUCAAGUCCUUAUUUAUAGAAAUACCACAUGUAGCAAGCACAGGAUCAUUAUCAUAAUGGUAUUUUUUCACAGCCAGGAAUAGUAAAUCAAAUGAGCAAGAAGAAUUAUUGCAACAUGUGGUAAAGAAACUAAACCUUUGAUGACCUGCAAAACUAUAUCAGUCAUAGUUCUUAUUCUUUCCUGAGGCUUCUGCCUUGAUUUUUCAACUAAGGAUGCCCUCUGCUUUGAAGAUAAUGCUUUCGUAUACCUUUGAAGCGAAACUAAUGAACAAAGCUAAAACACCAAGAGAAACCCCAUGGGGAAGCACAAAUCUGGAUAUCAGAUAGAGGAGUUCCAAAAAGAUAAGACUAAGAGUCUAAGAAAGAAUGAUAUGAUAAUCAAAAGAAACUGGCAUACCUCCAGAGGCAGAUGGUUAGGCCCUUUGGGCUUGCCAUUGAUCAAAACCCUAAAUAAUCAAACCAAACCAUUGCACAGAGUUUCCAAAAUACCUUUAUCUUAGUGCCAGAAGGAGAACCCUAAAAUUAUAGCUUAACUAAUUGAAAGAAGUAGAAAUAAAAAUAGUCAAUACUUGGUCAUUGUUUCAACUGAAUAAUAGCCAUGGUCCACAUAAUCUCCCUUAAACAAAUAGUUUGUAUCAGGGCACUGCAAAAAAAAUUGCAACAGGAAAUUAUUGUUAUUUUUGGAAAGUGAAACAUCCAACAGAACAAACCAGAAAACUACAAAAUAAGAAAGAGAAAACAUCACCAAUAAGUAGCAACCAAUUAACAACCUUGAAGAACACAUACGAUAAAUUAAAUAGCCCAAAUCAGAAUAAUGCCUUUCCUCCAAUGCGGAAAAGCUUCGCCAGAUCAUGGAAUUGUCCAUGAAUAUCACCACAGAGAGUUACCGGGCUUUUUACAGGCUGCAACACAUAAAACCCAAAAUGGUUAUUCAUUUACCUCAUGACAUGCCCAAAUCUUUAUAGGUCCAAAACUUGUAUGAAACAAUACAAAGAAAGACAUGAAACAGAAACUUGCAACUAAAAAGGCCCACCUGGACAUUGCUUUCUUCCAUUAAUAUUUCCUUGGCCUUCUGGCAGAGCACUCUUACCUAUAUUAAACAAACAAAUUAAGAUGAAAAUUAUUUACAUCAUUGAAUGAAAAAGAAACUCCGAAGAAACCAUAAUAUAAAAAAGGUCCUUUAACAAACAUUAAAUUGAACAUGCUUGCAUUUCAAUAACAGAUUUCCGUUUUUUUGCUCAUUAGCGAUUUCAAAAAGCAAUUAUUUUGGUCCUAUUCUGUAUAACAUUGUAUAGGCUGGUGUACCAUAGAACAUAGCCAAUGUUCUGAAAUCCAAGAAACACCAUAGCAACUCGGUUUUGAAGCUAACACUCUUAUAAAGUAUGCUAUCAGCCUAGCAUACCCACACAACCCUCCAUCCAUCCCCAAGAAAUAUUGAUAUGCUUACAUGCACUAUAAAGCAUAUACACAGCGUGCAGAUUAUUUGGCAAAUCAAAAGUUGUAUAGAGUUUCCUGCAACAAUGGAACGUAAACUAAGGAGGUUUCACAUUACUGAUUUCAGUACUGUCCAGAAAAGGGAAAAUUCAAGGUAUCUCCUUAACAAUGUAUUACAAUGUUCACAUUUAGCCAAAACCAGACUCAAAUACUGCGCUCCACGAAGUCUCUGUUAAUCAUAACUCUGCAAAGGUCCAUAAAUCUGUUGAAAGAUUCGGUUUUUAUGGCCUUGGACUCGAACACCAAAAAUUCGUUUUUCCUGUUUCACAAAUCCCAAAGGCGGAAACCUACAGUGUCACAGAAAAUGGGAUCUGACCCACAUUGCCAAUACCCAACCCUAACAGCAGAACACAUAGUUAUAACCACCAAGUUCAUGCAUUUCUUUAGAAUUUUUAACCCAGUGGUAAAUCCAAUAGAAGGUCGAAAACCCACAUCAGUGGUACAUUCAAUUUAAAAGUUGAGAAAUCUAACCCACUUAUCUAUUGUAUUAAACCUUAAAGACACCUCCACCUUCUAACUUAAAAGCUUAGUCAACAUACCACCUCCUAAUAUAAACACUUGCUUAUAAAAUAUGACUUAUAAAUAGUUUUGACAUUAAACAAAAGAAAAUGCUUAGGAAAAUCAAAUUUAACAGAGGUCCAUUCCUGUAGCAGGGAUCACUCACAUAGGCCAAACGUAUACCAUAUCCCAAAUCCCACCUAGAAACACACCAAAAAAUUGGAAUGAUUUUAUUCUAAACAAAAGGCCAAAUGUUAAGCAUUAACUAAUGAGAAUUAAAAUUUGUAUAAACUCAAGAAUUCAAAGUUUCAAACGUGAUGACUAAAGAUGUGAUUUAGAGUCUAGACAGAACCAGAUGUUAGUAUCGGCUCUAUUGUACCAGAUUACUCUCUCAGUCUAAAGCCCAAUCAAGUGCCAACUCAGCCCAACUUCCCAUUCGAAGCUGUUUCCAAUUGAUUAUCCACCAUAAAAUGUUUUAAUUCAUUGCUGACAUGCUGCAAACAAAUCGGGAUUCAGAAAGUUGAUUGUUUGCUAGUGCUCUAGUAAAUUGGAAGACACAAUCAUUCUACUUUAGUCUACUGGCUUAAUAAAUUAUUGAUUGAUUACAAUCAGACAAAUUGGAAAACACAAUCAUUCUACUUUAGUCUAGUAAAGUAUUAGCUAGUGCUCUAGUAAAGCUUGUGUUCUGUUGACCCGUAAGAAACGCCAAUUACAACAAAAAACUCAUGACCUUAAGGCAGUAGCUCUCAUGUGGAUUAAAUAAUUCGAACCAAAAAUUAAUAUAUUUUAUUUUCAAACAUUUUUCUCAUAACUGAAAUGAUGAAAGUGGUGCGCGCAUCUCUAUCUUUCAGUAUAUUCAGCUCAACUACCUUCAAGUUAAAAAUGAGAUUGUGAAUGCAUGAACCUUUAUAAUCUGUAUAAAUUUGUUAUUAAGCAUUUACUGAUAGCCAGGUAGUAGGUAUCAAUCCAGUUUCCUGUUGUGUGAUAGAACCUUAACUCUUCGGUUGAAUUAACAUGCAUACUGCUGCCAAAAUGCAUUACUAAGUGUAUAUUAAUCCAGUCAAAUCAAUUAGGAUAUCAAGAAAGAUGACAACAAAAUAAAACAUGGCCACUCUCAUACAAUGAUGAAGAUGAAUUUAAACGAUUCAAUCCUACUACAAAUGAAAAUCCCUAGAGAGGAAUUUCAGCACAGAUUUGCAUAUGCAUUGAAAAUGAAGAUUUCAGAAAAUGAAACAUAAAAGGAUUGAAAAUUCUCGAAAAAGAAAAAGGACUUACAGUGACGGACAGCGGAGAACAGAGAUGGACAGUGUAGGCAAAGUUUUGGUAGCUGCGUGAAAACAAAAGCAACCACUAAUACAAUCAAGUAAAAUAAAUGCAAACCAAGAACAUGUAGAAUUAUAACAAUAAAUUUAAUUUGACAGAUAAUUUUCUUGCUGAAAAACUUUGAUCUGCAAAACCAAAUAACAUUUUUCAACAAAAAAAGAACUAAUUUAACAAAGCAAAUACAGUAUACGAAAAAUAGCUAUUCAAGAAUCAGAAAAACCUAAAAAUAUCCGAAAGGAUCCCAAAUUUUGGAACUGCUUUAAACCAACCUGCCAUGAAAUUGGGUCCACUGCGCUUGCCAUUUCCCACUUCCUCCGAUCGUUUCUGAUAAAACAAAAUUUUAAAAAUUGUUAAUUUUCAGAUAUUAAUUGGAAAAGAAAGCGCAGAAUUGGCAUAGUCCGCACCUUCACACCUCGUUUCUGCGAUUGAAUGAGUUCUCUCAGCCGAACAUACAGAGUGAGAAUGGCGAGCUGUCAAGGAGUUCGCGGCUGGCGAGACUGAGAAUGGCGAGAGAGAAUCGGUGAAGGAUCUGAGAGAAAUUACAGAGUGAGAGAAGGGAAGGAUGGGGGGAUUUGAUGGAUGUUUACGGAGAGAGACGGGAGAGAAAAAGAGGGAAUGAAAGAGGGGAUGGAACGGACGGAAAAGUACUGCACGAUGAUUGACGCGUGGGCGCUCUUCCACUGUGCAGUGGCAAUUUCGUAAAUAAAUAGAAAUUCCAAUCUGAACAGCAGUCAAGGGGCGGUGGCAAUUUUGCAAAUAAAGUGAAAUUCAGGUACAAUGAACAGUAAAGAACAGUGCCAAUUGCAAUGCUUUCUUUAGACUAAAGUAAUAAUAAAUACUAACAUAUGCCUAGACAAUUUGGGUGUAAACAUUUUUUUUUUUUGUUUUUAAAAUGGGAAGAAGUAAUGGAGAAAGAGAACAUGGGAGUGGGGGCAGGGAGAGAGAUUUUUGUUUUUAAUCUUUUUAAUUUUUAAUAUUAGAUAUAUGUUAAAAUCACAUAUGGGUGAGGUUUAAAUAAAAAAUAGCAAAAUUGUUGUAAACAUUCCUAGUUUAAGUAUGAUUGUGUAAAUCCUAGAUAAGAUUUGAUUCUAGUUAUCCUUUCCUAUUACAACUUGUAUUACUUGGAGGAGAAGGAAUAUCUUCUCUCCCUUUACUACUAUAAAUAAAGGCACAAUGUAGGAGGGAUAACAACACACACAUUCCCCUACAAUUCUACAAACACACAUCUCUCUCCUCUCUCUCUCUGCCGCCGGCCCUAGUCCAUCUGUCAGAUAAAAUAGACCACAACACGUUAUCAGCACGCUCCUACCGCUGCGCUUAGGAAUCUGACGUUGGAGAUUUUUUUUUUCUGCAUCAAACCAGUUCAUCCAUAUCAUCACGCAAUCAGGUUCUUUCCAAACAACGGCUUUUAACUCGAUAUUUUGCAAGCCCUGAUAGCAUGAACAUUCACCAUGAUGCAUGACCCAACUUUACGUUUUACGUAUUUUAGAUUCUACGUAAAUUGUGUAUGCUUCAUAAUCAAAAUUGCUACAAUUAUGUGAAUUUGAUAUUUGUCAUGAAUUGAAUCUUACAUAUGUACAUGCAUUGAAACUAUUAUUUGCAUAUGCAUCAACGUAAAUAUGUGAUUCAUUAAAAUUAUACAUGCAUAUAAUAUAAUUGAAUACAAAAAAAAAAAAAAAAAAAAAAAAAAAAAAAAAAUUUAGGGCUGCACACAGCAGCCCAUUCCCCUCUUCUCACCCCGUGGGCCUGUAAUUCCACCCGAGGGUUCUUGGCUUAUACUUUUAGGCCCCGAGAUUUUAUUAUUUAAUUUUUUUUAAAUAUGGGUUUUUAUAUUUUCACCCACACUUUAAUUUGGCCCCGAAGACCAAAAAUAAAUUAAUUCACUUAUCAUUAUACAAUAUUUCUGCAUAUAUUCUUUGCAUAUUUGUUUGCAUAUAUAUUUGUGUUUGCCUGCAGGAAUAUAUGAACCUGAAGUUCAUAAUUACUUUGAAACCCGAAGUUUCUUAUACACAUGCCUUGUUUGAAAACCCGAAGUUUUCACUUAAAUAUAUCACCCAUGAAAACCCGAAGUUUUUCAUGCAAAAUUAAACCAAUACAUGUCUAUUAGAACCUGUAUGUUCUACUCCUAUGUGAAUGGAUUGAUUUUUCUCCAUUACACUAACCACAUCUUGUUCAUCCAUUUUGUGAUAGGAACAUGUCGAAUUUGAACAAACUCGACUUCACCGCUUUGGAGGUUUCUGGAAGGAACUACCUCAAGUGGGUUCAAGAUGUGAAGCUCCACCUCACUGCAAAGAACUUACGUCCUGCUAUUGAAGAAGCAACAGAUAAACCUGUUGGCGAGGCUGAAAAAGCCACUGCUAUGAUCUUCAUCCGAAGACAUAUUCAUGACGCUCUGCAAACUGAGUACCUUGCUGAGGAGGAUCCACGUGCAUUAUGGGUCGCUUUGGCUGAUCGUUUCGAUCACCAAAAGGACAUAUUCUUGCCUGAAGCAAGACACGACUGGCAGCACUUGCGCUUCCAAGACUUUAAGUCUGUGAAUGAAUAUAAUUAUGAAGUUUGUCGAAUCCGAUCACUUCUCAAGUUUUGCAAUGAAACUUUGACUGAAGAGGAUUUCCUGGAGAAGACCUACUCGACCUUCUCUGCUUCUAAUAUUGUCCUGCAGCAACAAUAUAGAGCUCAGAAGUUCACUAAGUUCUCGGAUUUGAUCUCUGUUUUACUUCUUGCUGAAAAGCAGAACCAGCUGUUGAUGAAGAAUCAUCAAGCUCGACCUACUGGGGCUACUGAUGUGCCUGAAGUACAUUAUAGCACUAAUCAGCACCCAAAACGCCAAAAGAGGCGUGGUAAGGGCGGCCAGAAGCCAUCCCACCAAGGUCAACAGAGCCAAGGCCCAUCCAAGGGAGGAAACAAAGCCCAGAAGCUCCCAAACCUCGCUCCCAAGGCCCCGAACUUCAAGAAUAAGGGCAAAGCACCUGCCACAAUGAAUGACGAUAUGUGCUAUCGUUGUGGUUCCAAUGACCAUUGGUCCCGUAUUUGCCAUGCUCCCAAAAAGGUUGUGGAUGCAUAUCAUUCUCGUCGUACGAAGUUUGAAUCAAACUUCCUGCAAGUGGACGAACCGGAGACUACAAAGAUGGAGGUUUCUGAUUUUCAGGAGGAUACCACUCCUAUGGAAGAUUAGAAUCUUAGGCAUAGACUUAUUUUUCAGUUAAAAUAAGACAAUUGGGGCCGAAUUCCACCUUGUGGCCGAACCCCACCUUGUUUUUUGGUUGAUUUUGAACAAUUUUCCUUUAUGUUUUGGAUUAUUAGUUGGCGAUUUAUUUUGGAUAUUAAGUUUUUAAUCCUUGAAAAAAUGAAAUUAGUUUGAAUUGAUACUUGUUUUUAUAAACUUUUAUGCAUGUGACCAAUUCAAAUUAAUUUUUCAUUCUAGGUAUGACUAGUGGGAAAGUUAGUUGUCUGGCAGAUAGUGCAACCACGCAUACUGUUUUGCGUGAACGCAUCUAUUUCACUAACUUCGUACCUAAGAAUGCACCUCUGACAACCCUCUCAGGCCCAUCCAACCUGAUCGAAGGAUACGGUAAGGCACGUAUAAUGUUGUCCAAUGGUACAAUCUUGACCAUUGCUGAGGCACUCUAUUCUCCACGUUCCGGAAGAACGUUACUAAGUUUCAAGGACAUUAGAGAUAACAAUUACCACGCUGAAACCCACGUAGAAAACGGAGUUGAAUUUCUGUGCGUAACUUCCUACGAAUAUGGCCAGAAGCGUAUUCUAGAGAAGAUGGAGCAUAACCCGAGUGGUUUGUAUAUUACGACCAUACGCCCCAUAGAAUGCCACUAUGUGGCCGGCCCUACCACAGGGACCGCGCACGAAAUUACACUUUGGCAUGAUCGUUUGGGACAUCCUGGACGAAUAGCGAUGCGCCGUAUCCUCAAAACUUCACACGGGCAUCCACUAACCCGAAGCUUAGGUUCGAUCCAUGAAAUUGCAUGUCAAACAUGUUCUAUGGGAAAGCUUAUUACUAAGCCUUCUUAUGACAAGAUUCGUUCGAAUCCUCCCAUUUUUCUACAACGGAUUCAGGGGGACAUUUGUGGACCGAUUCAACCUCCCUGCGGACCAUUUAGAUAUUUUAUGGUUUUGGUUGACGCUUCUACACGUUGGUCACACGUGUGCUUGUUGUCCACAAGGAACGCUGCAUUCUCCAAACUGUUGGCUCAGGUUAUCAAGCUCAGGGCUCACCACCCUGAUUAUCCGAUCAAAUCUAUUCGAUUGGAUAAUGUUGGAGAAUUCACAUCUAAAACUUUUGAUGACUAUUGCAUGUCGGUUGGGGUUGAAGUUGAACAUCCUGUACCCCAUGUUCACACCCAGAACAGCCUGGCAGAGGCUUUCAUUAAGCGUUUACAAAUGAUUGCUCGAUCGUUGGUCAUACGUACCAAGCUCCCGAUCGCUGCUUGGGGCCAUGCAAUAUUGCACGCAGCAAAGUUGGUCCGCCUGAGGCCUGUUGCGACACAACCAUUUAGUGCCCUUCAGUUGGUCACCGGAUGCGAACCCGACAUAUCGCAUCUGCGUGUUUUUUGUUGUGCGGUCUAUGUGCCGAUCUCGCCGCCCUUACGUACAAAAAUAGGGCCUCAGCGAAGGAUGGGAAUCUAUGUCGGAUAUGAUUCUCCUUCGAUUAUUCGUUACUUAGAACCCUUGACAGGCGAUCUGUUUACCGCUCGUUUCGCGGAUUAUCACUUCUAUGAGACAGUCUUCCCGUCGUUAGGGGGAGAUAAGAACGUCAACGUUCCUAAUGAACGACGCGAAUUAUCGUGGAUGACUCCCACUUUGUCUCAUUUAGAUCCCCGCACCGCUCAGUCUGAAGCUGAAGUGCAGCGCAUAUUAGAUCUCCAGAGCAUAGCUCAGAGCAUGCCAGAUGCUUUCACCGAUCUAGCGCGCGUGACAAGAUCACAUAUUCCAGCUGCGAAUACGCCUGCAAAGAUGGAUGUACCAAAUGUACGACGGACUACCCUCCUGGAAGCCCGGGACGCCAAUUCUGGUGAUCCACGUACAUUAGCGGCUAGCCAAUCAUCUGCCCCUACACAAAAGCGUGGCAGACCCCUUGGUUCAAAGGAUUCACACCCCCCGGAAGAGGGAAACCACGGCACAAGGUCCUGAAGAGCCUACCGUGAAUCCGACUAUCGCUUACUCUCAUUUUACCCAACUCAUGAGGAAAUUCUAGAUUAUGGAAGCGUCCUUGAAGAGACGAAUCCUCCUCCCGAGAAUCGUGAGAUUUCGGUCUAUUAUGCUAGCUUAGAUGAUGUGUGGCGUAGAAAUGAGAUGAUUGUGGACGAUGCAUUAGCAUUUGCAGUAGCUACUGAGAUCAUGUUGAGCGAUGACAUUGAACCGCGUUCCGUUGAUGAAUGUCGACGUAGAGCUGAUUGGUCAAACUGGAAACAAGCAAUCCAAGUCGAACUUGAUUCACUUGCGAAACGUAAGGUGUUUGGACCUGUAGUUCCUACUCCUCCACAUGUGAAGCCCGUUGGCUACAAGUGGGUUUUCCUUCGGAAGCGUAAUGAGAAGAACGAAAUUGUGCGUUACAAAGCUCGUCUUGUAGCACAAGGUUUCUCACAACGCCCCGGGAUUGACUAUGACGAAACUUACUCACCCGUUAUGGAUGUGAUUACUUUUCGAUACCUUAUCAGUUUGGUAGUUUCCGAAAAACUGGAUAUGCAGCUGAUGGACGUAGUAACCGCGUAUCUCUAUGGGGAUCUAGAUACGGAAAUUUAUAUGAAAGUUCCCGAAGGACUUACAUUGACUGGUUCAAAUAUUUCCAAACCCCGGAACACGCUCUCAAUUCGGCUGAGGCGUUCACUAUACGGUUUGAAACAAUCCGGAAGAAUGUGGUAUAACCGUUUAAGUGAGUAUUUGACUAGUCAGGGAUAUGUGAAUAACGAACUAUGCCCUUGUGUGUUCAUUAAGAAGUCACAUUCCGGAUUUGCGAUUGUUGCAGUAUAUGUCGAUGACAUGAAUCUCAUCGGAACUCCUGAAGAGCUCGCGAGAACUGCUUCGCACCUGAAGUCGGAAUUUGAGAUGAAAGAUCUAGGUAAGACUCGAUAAUGUCUCGGUCUCGAGAUAGAGCAUUGUUCGGAUGGAAUCCUAGUACAUCAAUCGAACUACACCCAGAAGGUGUUGCGCCGUUUUAAUGAGGAUAAAGCGAAGCCUUCGAGUACUCCUAUGGUCGUUCGUACGCUAGAUGCAAAGCGAGAUCCCUUCCGUCCGAAGGAGGAUGAUGAAGAGAUUUUGGAGCCUGAAGUUCCUUAUCUAAGUGCGAUAGGCGUUUUAUUGUACUUAGCUCAAUGCACUAGACCCGACAUCUCCUUCGCUGUUAAUCUUUUGGCAAGAUACAGCAAUGCACCAACACGCAGACAUUGGACUGGCGUGAAAGACAUCUUCCGUUACCUUAAGGGUACUACGGAUUUGGGCUUAUUCUAUCCCUACGAAUCCUCGAGUGAUGCCGCACCCUAUGCUCAUCGGGUUGAUUCUCGCCUUGUUGGUUAUGCCGACGCUGGAUACUUAUCUGAUCCGCACAAGGCGCAUUCUCAAACGGGUUAUGUCUUUACCGUUGGAGGCACCGCAAUAUCUUGGAGGUCAACUAAACAGACCUUAGUUGCCACUUCGUCUAACCAUGCUGAAAUUCUCGCCUUACAUGAAGCAACUCGGGAAUGCUUUUGGUUGAGAGCAGUAGUGGGCCAUAUUCGAAGCUCCUGUGAUCUUCAUCCCGCCGUUAAUGCCCCGACGACGAUUUUUGAAGACAACGCAGCUUGCAUCGAACAGCUCAAGAAAGGGUUACAUCAAAGGAGACAACACCAAGCAUAUUGCGCCGAAGUUCUUCUUUACACAUCAACAACAAGAGCAUCAGAAGAUUGAAGUCACGCAAAUCCGAUCACAAGACAAUCUGGCCGACCUCUUCACCAAAUCACUACCGAAGGCGACGUUUCAGAAGCUUGUUCAUGGAAUUGGUAUGCGUAAACUUUCCGAGUUGUAACUUUGCUAUUUCUCUUUGGAAUUAUGUCAAACUCAGGGGGAGUAUCUUCUAGAUACUUGCUUGAUCUUAAUGUACUCUUUUUCCCUACGAUUAGGAGCAUUUUUCCCACUGGGUUUUUGCUACCUAACUAGGUUUUAACGAGGCACCCACCUUGGGCUGAUCAUAUCCCUGAUGACGUCCUGUAGACGUUUCUUUUGACUUUGCAUUUCUCACGCAUUUUUCCUUAGACUAUGGAUUUUGUCCCUACUUGGGUUUUUGCCAUAGCCUUAGGGUUUUUAGUGAGACUUACUACUUAUGCAAGUUCCUACCUUAUUGAGAAUAAGCGUUGUUCCUUGGAAUCAGUGCCAACGAGUCGACUUCCUCAACUUCUACAUGAUGCUGAAUCUACCUUGAGUAUUUACACACUCAAGGGGGAGUGUUGUAAACAUUCCUAGUUUAAGUAUGAUUGUGUAAAUCGUAGAUAAGAUUUGAUUCUAGUUAUCCUUUCCUAUUACAACUUGUAUUACUUGGAGGAGAAUGAAUAUCUUCUCUCCUUUUACUACUAUAAAUAAAGGCACAAUGUAGGAGGGAUAACAACACACACAUUCCCCUACAAUUCUACAAACACACAUCUCUCUCCUCUCUCUCUCUGCCGCCGACCCUAGUCCAUCUGUCAGAUAAAAUAGACCACAACAAAAAUUUGAUUUUAUGAAAAUACAUUACCUCUGUUGAUUGACUAAAAGAAUUUUGUAAAUAGGUAGUUUAGAUACUGCAUAAAAUCUUCAGCGACACAUGAAGAAAAUUUAUAGCAUUAUCUUAAGAUACUGCAUAAAAUCUUCAGUGACACAUAGAGAAUUUUAUGAAAAUACAUUACCUCUUUUGGUUGACUAUUGAAUUACCUUUGAUGAAUUCUAGGAUGGUAUAUUUAUACUAAUCAAGAGAUAAACUUUUUAGGAUAGUAAAUCUGUAUAAACCGGGAGAAUCCUAAAUUAUAUAUAGCAAUAGGUUUUAUUUCCUUUUAGAAUUAUGAUUAUUUGUAGCUUAAACCAAUUCCUAGGUUGUAGAAAACUAGAAAUCACCAAAUAUAUAGAAAACCAAUUUGAUCCUUUUAGGAUCCAACAGAAUGUUGUAGCAUCGUUGAUCCGUUUAUACAGCCAGCCCAUGACUAAAUUAAGGAGGCGUACUUACUCCAUUGCAUAUUGCUCCGGUUAGCAAGAAUUUGUGGUCCCAUAAUGUUCAUAGAAAAUAGGGAAACCUAAUAGACUCCUAUCAACCUGAUCAAACAUUGAUCAAGUAAGAAAUCUCUAGAAUAACUUAGAUAGGAUUAUAGACUCGCACAUCAAAUAUAACAAUCUAAUGACGACUGUGAAUUCUUGAUUGGAACAAUGUUUUUUUAAGAGGAAGGAUAUUCUUAAGUAAAAACAAGGGAAAUUUUAUUUAAACCCAUCUAACCUAUUUCUACACCCAACUUACUCUUUAUACCCAUUUGAUUUUUAACUAAACUAUUAAUAUCUCUGUUGACCCUAAAAACUACCAAGCCUACGUGGCGCACAGGCCGAGUAAUCUAUAAGCUAACCACGUCCUUCGGUGAAUGCGGGGCGUGCUAACUCGUCGACCGAGCUCAGCGGAGGAGUAAAUUUGUUGAUGUUGCGUUGGGUGCGGGCUGACUUCUACGUCUUGCGAUUGCGGCCGAGGAAGGAACACGUCUCGGCCUCUUGGGUUCUCAAACCUGAAGACAAGGCUACUAUUCUUACGAAGUUCACAAAUCGUCGUCAUCGGAUUCGGUCACAGUGAUGGUAUUCGUCAUAGUAAACUCACGCCGAAUCGACACCAAAGUAUAAGGGCACAAAUACUCAAAGCGGAUAUGAGUCUUAAUAGUGAACGUGGUUCGGCCGUCUGAAUGUCGAACUCUAAAUCCCACUUGAGAGUAUCCAAUCAUAAAAUAACUCGGCGUGCAAUGCGCCGAGCUCAAUAAGCUAUAACACCUCACUUCGCCGAGAAGGCUAAUGAGAUGACCUUAAUCAAUAAGGAUUUGGAAACCUUUCUCGGCCGAGACUUGGAUAGGUAACCAACCGUCCUCGCCGCAGUGCUGUUGAUGCCAACGGAAGAUGCUGCGAGAUCGGCUGAUUCUACAGCGACAAAACUAUCUAUGCCGACUGAAGAUAUCACCGGUUGCUUUCACAGUGUUAUUGAUGCCAACGGAAGAUGUGUCAGCGAAAAGAGAAAAUAAAAAAAUCUCAAGUUGUUGAGAGAGUUUGCGCAGGGCAGUUGUGUGUUGAAUUGGAUGGGGUCUGAAUGAUGCACAACCUCCUCUAUUUAUAGCACUGGAUACCUUCUAGGUCGAGUUAAAACCCUACUCGGAUUAGGACUUCUUCUUCUAAUCAAACACCAUCUCGAGUACUCCUACUCCCAUCAAGAUUUUGAACCUAAUCUUUCAUCAAGCCGGAUUCACUUCCGGAUUAUUAAUCUCGCCGAGACUCCUUAUUGCGCCAGGAUUCGACCCGUCUUGCAGCAUGACUUUACCAACCUAGGUUCGGAAGCCCACGAACUAAACGAUCCAUGGUAACCUUGUCGUAAGGCCUUCCAGGCCGAGAAUGAUUCUAUACUCGGCCCAAACUGAUAUUUUGGGCCCAAACAAUCUCUUUAAACCCAAAUUUGAUACCUAAUAUACCCUCAUAAACCCAAUUCAAUAUGUGGAUUUAUACACCCAUUUGAUUUUUAGAAGCUAAAGGUUACCUCAUCACCGUACAUGUGUUGCUGUUUGCUUGGAAAAAAGAAAAGGGGGAACGGGGGAUGAUAAGUUUGAAGUUUCACAACUCAUCAGUUUCUUGACGAAUACCACAAUAAACUGAUUUCCGAAUAAGAGGAUGCACGUUUUCGGUUAGAACCUCAGCAUCCAACUUCUCCAUGUGAGGCCAAAUUUGCCAGGUACAUAAUAUACAAGGUCAGAGAUUCAGUAGUAAAGAAUAUUAAGCAUGUUUGUAAAACUUCACCCAAAAAUCCAAAGAAAACAAAAAUCAUACCAGAAAUGGGAGGGGGAGGGUCAAAAGGAAAACAAACAAAAGAGGGAAGUUGCAAAAAGAACAAGAGAAGCGACACUGUAUUUUACCUCGGAAGCAUAUUGCCUCGAGAACGCCUUGAGAUAGCCUAAAGUGGAAAGACACCAUUGCUCUUUUUCACCUACAUUAUAAACAUUACUUGUCCUCCCACCACUCAGUUCACUGCAAAAGUUAAGAAGACAAGUUAAAUACACUUGAAUGGCAUGUCACACAAUGUCGAAACAAUUUAUUAAUUUAUGAUAACAAAAACAAGAUAUUUAGGAAAACAAAGGAGACUACACGAAAAUAAAGCUAGUCAAUUACGAAGGACAACAAUAAAGUAAUCCGUAUCCCAAUCUCUCCCCUCCAUUAACAUCCUUCGCUCUAACCUUGUAGUCAACAUGUUUUUCAUUUACAUGAAUAUAGGAUUUUGUAUUUUUAGUGAGGGAAAGAAAUACCUUUUCUUAGGUAUUCCAUUCUCAUUGUCUACAUCCAUUGCGGAUGAUUCUUCAAGGUCAACUGCCAUAGAAUUUGCAUGAAUCCCCUUUAAUCCCUACAACGUGACACAUUUGGAUGUUUCUGGCAGCCGUUCAAAGUAUCUUUAGGCUAGCCAGUUGGCCCUUUUUGUCUAGUGGGGCCCACGAGCCCUCUGGCCUAGCUCUCAGUUGGAGAUCGUUUUCAAAGUAUUUUUAGCCCUCGAAACCCUUCGGUUGGAGAUGGCCUAAAAGGCUAAGCACAUGGUUACUUACGAGUCCUAGGCCAUCGAGCUUAUAUACAUAUCAAGGCAUUUUUCUGGCCCACAAUAUCCCACUUAUGUCAUUGUUCAUUCCUCGACACUAACAACAGGGUUCAUUUCCAAUUUGAGAUAAGUCAUGUAGACAAAGUGGGGUAAAAUGACAAGUUUGUGUCGAUUAUAACGACCUCAACCGCGUCUACCCAAAGUACAACUUCUAUGUUCCUCGAAUGCACUUCAGGCAACCAACUGCUCAGUUUUCUCAAUGCAUAUUCAGGCUACAACCAUAUCAAAAUGUACAAACGUGACAAAGACAAAACAUCGUUCAUCAUUGAAAGGGGAGCUUAUUGCUAUAAAGUCAUGCGUUUUGGCUUGAAGAGCAUAGGCGCAACGUACCAACGACUUGUGACCAGAAUCUUCAAAGACUUGAUCAGAAAAACCAUGAGAUCAUGUAACCAACAUCAUAGUGAAAGGCCCAAAACAUACGCAUAACAUCAAAAACCUUGCAAAGAUCUUCUUACCCCUGCUAAUCUACAAAGUGAAGUUGAAUCCAACUAAAUGCACAUUCAGGAUCUCUUCAGGCAAAUUUGUUGGCUAUUAGUCACCUAAUAAGGCAUAGUGGGACAUCUAAAUCAUAUCAAAGUCAUCCUCGACAUUAGGUCACCAUCAACCAUGAAGGAUAUCCAGAGCCUUACAUGUAAAUCAUGAACAUGUAGUCAGCAUCAUGCAAGUUACAAAGUCGCGGGAUCCAAAUCUGAGAUCGAUUCAACAAAAUCUCACGAUCUCAGGGACCCACUAUCUCAUAAACGAUGUUCAUAGACAUAGAGAUGGGUUAUAUGCCAUCGCCAACUACAUAAAGUCGUCAGGGACAUCGAGGAACCAAGGAGGCUGCAUGGCCUCAACCUAGAUGAAGGUGAAGAUCAAAAUCAUCAUCGUUUGUGCAGGGCUUGGACUUGAGGCUCACACAGCUCCACUCGCAACUUAGUACGGCACAGGCGUGGCUACGACUCUUACGUGUUAUGGUUUGAUUCCCUCUAUUUUUUUCUUUCCACACAUAGUUUAAUUAAUCAAAUUCAAUUUCAAAUAAUAAUAAUAAUCAAAUUGCAACAUAGCAAGAUAUAUAAUUUGAAAACGAAAAUAGAGUUUAUGCUUCAUGAGAUGGUUAACAUGCAUAAAGUGUCACAGCCCGUCUCGAAAUAUUUAUUCUCGAUGGCGUGAGAUUACUUAUUUACCCUUGGACGUUUUGUGUGGUUAGGUGGGUGAAGUUAUAUUUGGACCAAUUCAAAGAUUUUCCUAAGUUUUUGGAACACUUAGGACUUAGUUUUGUUGGUUAUGAUUAACUAGGACCACACACAAGCACCCAUACUUUUCUCUCUCUCUCCCGUUGAUUCUCUCUCUCUCCCUUCCCUCCCGAAUUUCCUUCCAUUUCCGUACAAACCAUACAGUCAACCUCAAACUCCUUCAACCAGUCGCGGAUCGACAUUAAAAAUGUGAUGUUCUUGUUCCCUACAAGCUCAUGAGUCAAUUCGUACAAUUUUUAGGACUUGAAAGCUUGUAAAACCCGAGAAACCAUAACUUCCGAUUUGAGGUACUAUUCAUGCACACGUAAAUGUGUAGUUUUCUGAGAGUUUUGAAGUUAUAUGGAGCUUAAGGACCUAUCCGAGAAGCUCGGAGAAGAAAAAUGAAGUGAUUUGGACGUUGGGAAGCUCGGGAAUAGGGAGUUGCAGGUUUAGCAGGAAUAUCGAAGGAUUUUCUGGUAAGUUCCGUUGGUUUUAGGACUUUUGAAAGGUAAGGUUUUGUUCUACUUGUCCUAAACUUCAAUUUGGUUCAAGUUUCGUGGAAUUUGGUUAAGAAUUGGACGAGAUAUGAAGGUUUUCGUGAUUUUCCAGUUUUUGGUGAACAGCGACGGCAACGACGACUAGCGAGGCUAAGCGGAGAAGAAGAUAGAAUAUUCCGUCAGAGUUGACAGAAUAUUCUGACGCCAUCAGGUAGAAUUAAUAGUUUAUGUUACUUUUUAACGGAAUAUUCCUAACGGGGUUAAGGGAUUCCAUUAGGGUCCCUGCGCGUGUUGCUGUGCCCUUGCCGGCGCGUAGGACGUCUGAAUUUUUUUCUAAAAAUAUGGGGAUGUUCAUGAGGUUGUGUAGAUCACGUUGUUAUAUUCAAAUAUCCCAUAUGAGCAAUGUAUGAGAAGUUAUUAACUAGUAUUGGUUAUGUGCUUUAAAUUAACGUUUUUAUAGUUGUUUUGCAUAUAGGAGAGACUUAUCUUGAGGACGAGCGUAGUCAGGGGCGGCUCGGGGGCUACGACCCUUCGACAUACCAGUAAGUGGGUUUUUGGUUUUAAGUAUAUACGUAUAUACUUGAUAUUUUCCCAAAAAAUGCAUUUAAAUGAUUUAUGCUUUGAAAAUGCCACGCCUAUUGAUUUAUGUUAAACCAUGAGUUAAAAUUGUAUGCAUAAAUGUGAUUUGGUGCUGUGGGCGCUCAGGUAAGUUCCAGGUGAGUUUAUGAAUUGUGAAUGUGUAUUGAAUGGUUGUGAUUAAUUAAGAAGCAUAGAGCUCAUAAACCUGCACCUCAGUGUUAGUGAUUAGCCAGAGAUAUGGCACAAGCCCGUAUAUAAUGUUACCUCCCGCACCAUAUGUUCACAUUGGAUCCAAUUUAGGUGCACAGUCUUGUCGUACAAACCAUUAUAGGUGGUUCCUACUUAUAAGUGACUGGCGAUUUAUCGCACAUCUAUUAUGAGAGUGUAGUGAUGAGCAUGACUAUAUUACACCCAGUCUUGUCGUACAGACCUUUCAGUGGUUCCGACUUGUAUGCAGUGUAGUGCCGUAUAGGUCAUUUGCAGUGACUCUGGCUAGAUAGACUAAUGAGCUGUGAAUUCAGCCAUACAAAUUUCUGCAGAGGUUCCGGCUAAUGUGUUAUUUUCCAUGAAUUUUAUUUUCACCUGGGUUACUUAUCCUGUUUAUAUUUUGGCAUGACAUACUUACGAUUAUAAAUAUGUGAAGCAUGAUUUGAAUUGAUAUAUACAUAUAUAUAUUUAUGCAUAUGUUUAUAUUCUAUUUUUGGGAAAAUUAUACAUGUUUUACGACGAGGGGUUAGAGCGUUUGAUAAAUGAAAUGAUUUUGAAAAGCUUGGUUUUUGCCCCCCCACAUUUUCUGUUUUGCGCCCUUCCAGGUUUUAGGUAGACUUGAUGUUGGUGGCGUACGGGGAUCUCAGCAGUUCUGACAGAAUAUAAUAUUUGUAGGAUAUUUUCCGGUACUGUAUAACUAGUACUUGUCCUAUUGGACUGCACCUAGACUUUCUAUACUCUGAUUAGGAGUAUUUACACUUGUAUCUCACUCCUAGCACUUCCUGUUUAUUAGUGCACAUUAGUAGCUUUCGGUUUUUAUUUAUUUGUAUAUUUCUUAUCUUUAUUGCUUCCGCACUGUGCACAUGGCUACGUCAUCCUCACGUGACGCCCAGCAUGGCUCGAUCUCGGUCGGGGUGUGUCAUAAAGGCUCGCAGAAAUUUGAGAAAGAUUAAGUAUAAAAGAUACUUGGAUAAUAACUGCUUAAACACCGUUCUUGAACAAUCCUCUUUUUAGAGACACAUUUUGUGCUGAUAACGUGUUGAAGGGAAGCAGAUGGCGCUUUACCGCAAUGGUGAAAAAUAAUAUGCUUACACACCCUGGUACGGGUUCGAUCCCCACCUCUCCCCCCUAACAUUUAACAAUUAAACCACUAGAUUUAUCGUUUGUAAAAAAAAAUAUUAAAAAAUGCGUUGAAGGAAAUUUUAUUAGAGAGUGAGGAUAGGAUAGGGAUGUCAAGAGAAAGAGAGAAGAAAAGGGCUUAACUGUUCUUUGUUGACAUACUUUUAUAC
rnacentral:lncRNA from 1 species